UGCCGUAAGCAAAGUAAUUUAAAAAAAAAAAAAAAGACAAGACAAACUGUGAGAAAUAUUUCCAGCUCAUAUACGUAAAAGGAUUAUCACCUUAAUGUAGAAAGAGCAAGAAGUCAAUAUGGAAAAAAACAAGAACUCAAUAGAAAGAAAAGGCAAAGGGGAAAAACAGGCACCUUAUAGAAAAAUGAAUACUAAAAUCAUUAAACAUAAAAAGUUGUUUAAUAUUACUCAUAAUAAGAAAAAUGCAAAUCAAAAUACACUGAAGUAUCAUCCAUUUACCUUUACAAUUGCAAAAAUCCCGUCUAACAGAUCGCUAUUUUGUUGAGGCUAAGGUAAAAGGGUACUUUCAUAUAUUGCCAAUGGGACUGCUCAGUGACACAACUCCUGUCGAGAUCAAUUUGGCAAAAUUUCUCAAAAUUUAAGAUGCAUGUAACCCUGUGACCAACAAUUUUACUUCUGAAAAUUUAUCCUGCAGAAAACCUGCACAUCUCUGAAAUGAUUUAUGUACAAGGUUGUUCACUGGAGCAUUGUUUGAAAUGACAAAAAUUGUUCAUAAAUAGAGACUGGUAGAAUAAACUAUGACACAUUUACAUAAUGGAAUACUGUUCAACUGAAUAAAAGAUUAAGGUAGCUCUCUAUAUACUGAUGUGGAAAGGUUUCCAAGAUAUAUUGGAGAAUUCAAGAUUGAGAAAUGCAUUGAAAAUUACAAGAUUGACUAAUUCAAGAAUAGUCUCACAUAAAAAUGAACAUGAAAAUGUCAUAGCAAUGAUAAAAUGAUCCCCGUGCUCCCCCAUCUUUUAGCCACUAGUGCAGCCAACAUUUGGGCGAAUGUGGUGAAACAGUAUUUGGCAUCCUUGGGACUCGUUCACCUUGGACCGUAAAACGUUUCCUGUUCUUCCCUCUCUAGCUCUGCAGCGUUCUUUCAAUGCUAAUAAACAGCUACUUCUUUUUAAACUCAAUGGAGUCACUGGUAAAAUCUAAAAUGACAUUAAAAUGUUGCAACCAUGAAUUAGUUGGGAUAAAUCCCAUUGAAAAGCCUAGGAUGAUUCGCCGUAAGUUCUACUCUCCAUGUGUUGAGUGGAAAAGAUCUGGUUAUUCACUUGUUGCUAUCUAAGAAGAAGAAAACACAUUUCUCUGGGAGUUUAAAUGUAUGAGAUUAUUAAAAAUAAUGAGUAUAAUAUAUUCAUUCAUUAGAUACAAUUUAUCAAGAUUCUAAAGUGCUCAGGUGAUGUAAUCAGUAUGCAUAAGAUUACUAACAUGAGACAGAAUACAGCAUUAGGCUGAUGAUGUAUGUUGAGUACUUGGGGGGGUCCUAAAGGAGAAGCCUAUCUAAACGGUGCAUUGUAAUUGAUAAUACAUUUAAUAACAGCAGCCUAAUUUUUGUAAAAUGAGCAACACAUUCAUUCACUGGUCAAAAAUUAUAGCAUCAGUCCACCAAGCUGUUUCCCCAAAGGUUCCGUCAUAUUUACAGUCAAGAGUGCUGUCUAGAACAACCCAGAAGUCACAAAAGAGAGCAGGGAUAAAUGCUCCUAAAUUUGAUUCCCCAUUUCCUUUUUCCCAUUACUUUUUGGUAAACAGAUAACCAGUGAGUUAUCCAUUCUGUGUAGGAAUUUCUUCCUCUGGGUUCCAUUAUUCACUUUAGGCAUUUAUUUUAAAAUGUGGAGGUAGGCAGGUAGGGAGUAUUGAUUGAUUGAUUCAUUCAUUCUUUAGUAAUUAAACACCCAAUAUGUUCUGGGUAUUUUGCCAGCAUUAAAAACACAGAGAUAAAAGACAUAGUCCCUGCCCUCAAAUAUUUCAGUCUACUGAGGAGAAGGGAAAGUAAAAUCCAACUAAUUAUAAUACAGGGUGGUAGCUGCUAUAAUUGAGUUAAGCUUAAAUAGCUGUGAGAGAACAGAGGCAUGAGAACCUGACUUUUGAUGAGGAAGCUCGAAAACAAAUUUGGAGGAGAUGAUGCCCGAGCUAAAACUUGAAGGAUGGGAGGAGUUGAUCAGGCAGAGACUAGAGAAGAUGGAAAGAGACACCAGGUAGAGGCAACAGAAAAAAAAAAGAAAUAUUACAGAGCAAGGCAGAGCAUGGUCCAUUCAGGGAACUGCAGGCAGAUCCAUAGAGCACUGGGUGAUAUUUGGGAAUAGCAGGAAGUGAGGUGUCAGAGGUGGGUAGGGCCCACUCAGGUUGUGGUGCAAGUACCACUUUAGAUAAGGUGAUCAGGGAAGCCUGAGAUCUGAAUGAAGAGUCAGCCAUGCCAAACUCAGGGAGAGGAGCAUUCUCAGCAGAUAACUGCGUGUAGUGUAAGAUAAGUCUAUUCCAAAGAGUGGUUAAAUUGCUAGGGGCACUGAUUCCUGGUUGUCAGAGAUGAACAGGACUAUUCCAAAUACUAUUCCCCUGACUAUUAUCUAAUCUCUUUUGUUGUCUCUGGAACCAUGGCUCUUUCCCAUCAAUGAAUUCAUUCAGUCCCCGUAAUCAACUCUGAUUAGUGUUGUUUAACAUCAAUCUUUUCCACUUUUUUUCAAAGAAAGAUACCAAUCAGUUCUGCACACCCCUGCUUGUUAAAAGCAGCACCUCUCCUGCUGACUUACCGUUCUCUUAAUCAAAAGGGCAGGAGGAAGCAGUUGGGAUUCACUUUUCUUUUUUUAUUCUUUCAAAGUACACAAAUGUCAGCUUCCUCAAGGAUGUUUGGCAUAGCUGAGUUCAGUCAUGUAAUGUACAAAGUCAGCUUGAUCAAAAGGUUGCAGGCUGCCCACUGCUAAAAUGGAGGGAGAAAAGGAAACCAAGGGCUUCUCUGAAGUGUGAAUGAGUGCAGAGGCCACUGUCACAUGUGUAUUUACACUGAGGACAUGCUGAGCCGACAAGGGAGUUUGGGAAACAUAAGCCUCUACCAAUACUCUACUCUGCCUUCACCUUUGAAACUCUGGAGUAGCGCUUUCUUCUCUUUCCUACUUUCAUUGUUGUUCUCAGCCAAGUACUUUCUAUACAGCUUUGUAGCAACCCCAAGCCACGGCCAUUUAUACGUAUUUAAAAAGUUAUUUUCACUGCCAGUCUCCAUACUUUAGCUGAAGAGUAUAAUUCUCCUUACCUCCAUGACUUGAAAAUGUUAGCACCUAGAACAGGCACCAGGUAGUUCAUUCAUUCUCUUACUCUUUUAACAAAUCAGUAUCCAUCAUGUGGUUGUCAAUAUGACAAACCCUUGUCAAUAAUUCCCCUGGAAGACGCUUCUAACAGUCAGAAGCAGAAAAUAAAUUUUCCAAAGAGUUUAUUACCUUAGAUUAAACUGUAACUCAACUUGGUUUCAGAAAUAGGCAAAAGUCUGUAAAUAAAACUUACGGACAUAUCUAAACCUGAACACAUAUUCCCAUCAAGCACAAAAAUCAUCAUAUAAGGUUAUAGGCUCCAAAUGAAGUUGCACAAGUUAUUUAAUAUUUGGAAGAACGUAGAGCUGGUAUGGUUCACAAAUAACGUUUUGUGCAACCUCCUCCUUGUUCCAAUGUGGAAACCAAAGGGAUGAGAAGGUAUAAGGUCACAUAGCUCUGAGUUCAGCCAGAAAUAGAACUCAAGCUCCAAAUUCUUAGUCUGGGGACUUUUAUUUUAUGUGACGACCAUUUAUUAGGUAGGGAUGAGGGGUGGACAAGAGGGGAAUACAAAGUCUUAAGGUCACUGAUAUGGAGGGACAAGGAGAGCGAUGAGAUGCUAAAAAAUAACCCCACUGGUCUAGAGAAAAGCUGUUCUUUUACUCACUUGAAAUGCCUCUGAUUUCCUGGAAAGAACAUGGGAGAAAUGUGUAUAUAGGAUCACGUUUAUAUGGAAUAAGUUAUUACAUCAUUCCCCCUUCUUACAUGUUCUAAAAAAAAAUCUCCUAGAGCAGUGUUUCCCAAAUUUCCCUGAUUACAACAAUCGAGUAGGUUUCUUGCUUCAGACACAAAUGCCAUGGCUGCUCUAUGGAAGCUUCUGGUUCUCCAGGUCUGGGGGAUUACCCAGAAAUGUGCAUAUUUCACAGAUGAUCCUAAUGAUUCUUAGGCUCAGGGAUGUUUGGGAAACACUAUCCUAGAGAAACCUUUGCCACAGCAGCUAAAAAAUUCUUCAUUCCUUUGAAUUAUUUCAUUUCAAUGUUUCUGUUGUGCCUUUUCAGCAGGUGCAGACUUUCACAGCAAACUGUGAACUCAUACGUUCCUUUAAAAUAACUUUAGAUACAUUUACUGAGUUUUAGGGUUUUUAGUGAUAGCAAAAAGUCAAAUGGGCUUUUUAAGCAGCUCACUCACACAGGAUCAUCAGCCUAUAACUCCCAAGCAUCAAUCCUACUUUAUUAGAGAAAGAAGAAAAAACCCUGUGCUUAGUCAACCUCCUUUAAUUGUAUCCAGGGUUACUUUUUCACUUCUGUUUCAUUGUCUGUCAAUCUGGUUGAUCAGUUUACUAAUUUCUACCCUGUUGGAGGUGAUUCUCAGAAAAAUCAGUCUGCCUUUGUUGCAUCCCAGAGAUAUUCACAAUAGAAAUAAGAAGAAAGCAUAGCCAACAAAAAUAACUAGGAAAAGAAACCUCCACAUCUGGGCCCAGGCCCCAUCCUGCUCAGUGAAACAUCUGUCUUAUAUCUUUUUGACACAUAAAAAUAAGGCCUUUCACAUCAUCUCACCUCUCCUUGAUAAGUCAGUCUAUUUCCUUCCAAAUUCUGUCUGAGACAAAACUCUUCAGCUCCUCCACCUACCUUUGAGAAAGACACAAUCAGGAAACGGUGUCUGAGAUGAGCUCACUUCCUCAUGUCUUUCAGUCAGACUUUUAUUAAAUGGAUCCCAAGCAAACCAACCAAAAAACAAAAAUACUCAUGUCACUUCUUUUGCAAUAAUUCUGCAGUCUUGAGGAAAAUUGAAUUUCGGGGAAAUGAACAGUUGAUGCCCUCUUAUAAGCAUGAGAGGAGGGGCAAUGACUCUAAAGAAUGUCUGUUAAUUGUGGUUGUACUGUAGUUAUAUUAAGAAUUGCACAAUUAAUUCCCACUAUCAAAUUAAACUGGUAAACGGGCCUAGAUUAAAAACACGUUUGCUCUGCUUGUUUUCCUCAGUUAUAUACAAAGUAAUCAUAAAUUCAGUUUGCCAUCGCUAGUAUGUUUUCACUUUGGGGGAAAAAAAUGUUUUUCCUCGCAGGGCAUAUUGCAUAUUGGGAUGAUAAACACCAAGGUCAAUGAUGUAUAUAAUUGUGGGGGUAUGACUGUUGCUAAAAUAAGCACCUAGUUUAGUACACUAUUUCCCUUAGAAGCUGGAAGCAUAGUCAUUUUUUCCUACUGGGAGAGAACGUGUCCCUUGAGUUGGGUAGAGACUGAGACGCAGAGUGGUACAGCCUGAAGCAGGAAACACACUUGACAGGCAGAAUCCAGGAGGAUGAGACAGCAUCAGAGCAGCAUUAGAGACAGUGCCCGGAGACAGCAGAGAUGUGUGGACUCUUGCGGCACAAUUGAAAGAUUAUAGAUGGUGGGUGACCAUGGUUUUAAGAAUCCAUCUCCACUGGCCACAACAACAUUGGCAGCCAACAUUUGUAAGGUCUCUUUAAUUAUGUCAGUGACCAGAGCUAGCCUCCCAGGUUAGGCUGCAACAACAACUAACAAGCUGCCCCUAGCCUCCUUCGGGACUCAAAUGAUAAAGCCUCAGAAAUCACAGCAACAGCAGCAGCAGCAAGAGCACGGCUUUGACCUGCAGUUCUUGCCCAUCAAAGAGCUGUGCCCUGUGCUCCCACUGACAGGCAGAUAAAUACAGAGAUCUGUUGGCAAGUACGUAUUUAUGUAUAUCUCCAUCUCCUUCAUACAGACCUACAGAGAAUGCAUAACAGCUUCCAGUGGUGUAACACAUUCAUCCUCUAAUGGGGUGAGGCCCAUUGCUCACAAAUGGGUGAAAAGAAGCAUCAAUACGCAGGUCUUAACCUCAGUUUGUGGGCAGAAACCUGUCAUUCCAUUGCAGGCCGAUGGGUCUCCUAUUCAGACAGUCCUUGUUUAAUUUUCCAAACCCCCUCUUCUAAAUGGUGCUACUCUAUGCUGUGCAGACAGACAGGUUUGACAAGCAGAGCCAUCAAUUUCACAUUCCCUGUGCCAACUGCUGGGAAAAAUUAGGCCUAGUAUGUACCUGGGAUUGAGUGGCUUGAGAGGCAAGAGCAUUUGGCACUUAGGAAGUAUUUUCCAAAUUAGAAACUGAGAACUCAGGAUGGAAAUCUCACAGAGAGUUAUCCUUGUUCAAAUGCAUAAAAUCAGGAGCGUCAAAUACGUCCUAGUGGUCUACUGUGGGGCAUACAUUAUGCUGAACCCAGAAGAUACAGAGAAAAGUAAGGCAUGGUCUUUCUAGAAGGAGCUCUCAGUAGGUGGGAAAAGGCACUCACUCAAAUGACCACAAUAUAAAAUGGGACAUUUGCCUUAAGAACGGAACAAAGCAAGGUACACACAAUUCUUGGUCAAGAGAAAGCUGUAUAUAGAUGUGACGUAUUGGCCAAAUUGUUACACUUCAAGAAAUGUCAGAACUGUCCAAAGAAAGGCCAACCAGGUGCAUGAUAGAUAAUGAUGAGUGAAUUAGGCACACAGCAAAAGACCAGCUAAUGAGCACUGUUUCUCACAACCAAGUCCCAGAAUUUCCUUGGGAUCUCUGAGACUGCCUCAGGGUUAAUGACAUCUUGGGAUGAUGUUGAAAUCUCUGCUAGCAUAUAGUCUUCCUGAGGUUUCUUUCUGGUGCUGACCUGAUUGAACUGAAGAAAGAAGGGAGAAAACGCAGGAGAAAGGUUCUAUCGCUAUUUCAGGAGUCAGAGAGUGAGAGUUAAGAACUACUAAAUAGUUAAGGACCUAGGAUUCCUCCCAAAUCCCCCUGAGAAGAUCAGCACCCUAUGAUAUGGGAGAUCUCCCACAGAGUCUUGUGUAUCAGGAACUCAUAAAUGGGAACCCAAAGGAGUUUGUGUGUUACCUGAGUUUAUGCCCCAAGGGGUCAAACUUGGAGAGCAUUUCACGUUGUUCAGGAAUAUAAUACAAUCAAGCCCUCAAUGGUUAGAGGCUUAAGUGAGCCUAAGGGCCCACUCCCCAACCUUGCCCUGUCUUGUAAGCAGUAAUGGACUUGACUAUAAACAAAUCAGAAGGCAAAGAGGAUCUCACAUUUAGGAAGUAUUUUCCGGCUAGAUUUAUAGUUAGGUGGCACUACGGUUAGGGUUGGUAGGCAAGAGACACGGAGAGUGCCGUUAACAUUUUCUGAGAUGUCCCUUGUUUAUCUCCACAGUCAUGACUGCAUUUGCGUCUUGAUUGCUCUACAACUGAAUGGCUGCAAUUGCCUACCAGCUGGCAUCUGACUAGUCUCAGUCCCUCAGUCCACUUUGUACACUAUAACCAGGUUAACUCCUAAGGUACCGCUUUCAUUACUUUUGCUUGCCUCUCUAGAAUGUUUCAACUAUUCAGCAAACCCCUAUCGAGUUCUAACUAUCUGACAGCCAUUGUUUUCAUAAUCCACAAGAAAAAGUUCUGGGCACCACCUGCCCUUUCAAUUUGACACCCCAAUCUUCACCAACAUAGAUCGCUUCUCUAAUUUCAUUACUUCCUGUACACAUGAACUUCCUUCCCACUGCCAUGCCUACUUUCACAGUGAAACUUUUCUUCAUUCUCCCUAUUUCUCUGUUUUCCAACAUCACUCCACUGCAUUGCAUCUUACUUUCUCUCCAAAGGACCCAUUUCCCGUCAUCCUUCAAUGCCCAGCUUUUACAUCUACUGCUAAAGUUCUCCCUCUACUACCAAACCUUCCAUGUACCGUUAGACACCACCCUGAAGUUAAUUCUUGUAGUACGCACUGCCUUUCUUUGCUGCUUAUUUUCGUGCCUAAUAAUAGACUAGUAAUUUCUACCUCAUUAAUUUUAGGAUCUGAUUACUAAUAUCUGCAAUAAGACUAUAGAAACUGUAAGGUCCUUGUAAGCAGGUAUUGUAUGUCUGGUAAUCAGUAACACUAUUAACUAUAGGGAAAGAUAUUAAUUAAGAUUAGCAUCAUACUUGUUUCUAAAUUUAAGUUGCAUUGCUGUUUCUCUUUUUAAAAAAUCUUUUCUCCCUUUCCUGUAAGAGUCCAAAAAAACACAAAUAGUGACAAUAAAGAAACAAUCAAUAUAUCAACAUGUAAUGGUCAGUGGUCUUUACCAGCUGCAACAAUGUUCCAUUUUACUGCUCAGCUCCUCUCGCUUUUGCCUGUGAUGUUCACUAUUAGACACAUUCUAUACUAAUGCCAUCAUGGCACAAUUAAAUUUUACAUUAAUUAAGCUUUGGAUGUUAGCACCAGCCUAGGGGUGGAGCAGGUAUAGGGCAACUGAGACCAGGUUCAGGAUAUAAGGUCUGUGAUAUUCAUCAAGGAGCUGGGAUAAGGACCAUUGUAUGAGGCAUAAGAAAUGGUACAAUACAUAGUCUGCAAGCUUGUUGAAUGCCGUUUCUUGCAGAUAGGGCUUGAUAUCAGCUUUCACUUACUUAUUAUUGAUAUAAGUGUAUUUUUCUCAAAAUAUGAUAAAUAUUGAAAGGGGUGUGUGAAUACCAUGAUAUGAAGAUCAAAAUCAAGGUUAGAACCAAGGGCAUCCGAUUAAUAUGCAAAUGGAUAAUGAAUCACUUAUAAGAUUAAAGUUCGAAUUUCAAAUGGGAAGAAGGCAAAGGUAGAGGCAUAAAGAACACAGUUCUAAGGGUGGUGCCCAUGGUUCCAUGAAGGAAAAGAUGAAGCAGAUAGAAGGCAGGCCUACUAUAUUGACUGGAUGUCAUACUGAGAGUUUUGAAUCAGGCAAGACGACAAAAAUACCUAGAAGAGCUUGGACUGGAAGACUGGGAAUAAUAACUAGGGAUAGUGAAUACAGUGGCCUGUGUGGACAAUGAGGUCAGCAUUUAGAAUAUCAGGUAGCCAGGACUAGGACCUAAAUGAAGAGGCUGUAAAGAGAAGAAUGUUCAUUCAUUCUCUCACCCUACAUUUAUUUAUUGAGCUGGAAUUACAAUAGAUCUGGACUAGACCCUGCUUAACAGAAUUUAUAGUUUAGAGGGAAGAGAGGCAUGAAGGACUCAAGUGAUGAGAUGAGAGCAACUGGAGUAAGGUCUAGUAACCGAGCAAUUCUACAUUAAGACUUGAAAUCAGUGCUAAGCCUGAACGCAGUACCAAGGCGACCUUAUCCAAAGCCUGUAUUCUUCAUAUGUUCUCUGUUUAGGAAGACGUUGAGAUUAACAUGUAGGUGAAACUUAAGCCCACAGAUGGGGUAAGCAAGCAUUCCUAGCUGGAUGGGCUGUAUGUGUGUGUGUGUGUGUAUGCAUGCACUCGUGUACUUUUUUCCUAACAGGUAUGAACCACGACCCUGUAGCAUAGGAAUAAAUGAUAAGGAUGAUGAUAAUGAUGAUUAUAACAGCAGCCAACAUUUAUCGAGUGGUUACUAUAUACCAAGUAUUGGUUUAAAUAUUUUACACUUAUCAUUUACUCCUCACAGUAAUUUUAUGACAAAGGUAUCACCAUCAAUGCCAUUUUACAGAUUAAGAAACUGAGGCACUGAAAAUUAAAUAGCUUUCCCAAGGUCACAUGGCUAGUAAGUGACAGAACCCAGGUGGCCCGCAGUCUGAAUCACUCUGCCAGGCUGCUUACAUCCAGGAGAACAAUAGGAGAGUUAUGCUACCUCAGAUCAGAGCUUAUCUAUGUCUAUGGAAUAUCUAUUUUUCCAUAAUAGAAAUGAUUUGAGGCUACUCUCCCUAGAGCAGUAGCCCCUCUCAGAAAUGUGAGAAUGGCAUAUUAAGUUGUUCAGGCGUAUUAUGAAAGUAUCAUGGUAACAGAUGAGAGAGAUUCAGCUCUUACAGACUUUAAUUUUUAAUUAUACUAUGUAAGCAAUAAAGAACUAUUGUGAUGAAGCAGUGUAACAAUAGACAGGCUAAUACAGAAAGUGAAAAUUUUAGUCUCAGUUAGCUACUAAGUAUGGGGCCAGCUCUCUACCUCUCCAUCCUCCAUUUCUCUACAGGGUGACAUAAGGGUUAAUAAGAUGACUGUAAAACACAUUUACUUUAUGAAGAGUCAUAAGUUCUAUUACUACUGUGAUUUUCUGAACCAUGAUAAUUCUGCUGGGAUUUCUUAUUAAGACAGCACAUAGAUAGAUGACUCCUAAGCCCAGGAAAGAAAGUGACCAAAUAAAACAUCAGCACCAUAAUGACUGAAGUGUGGACUCCAGCGGACAAUUGUGUAGUGUCCACUCUUGAUGAAGUUGAUUGUUAAUGUAGGGGCAUGAACAUCAAAUUUCCAUUAAAAACCAAGGAGAAAUGUAUGUAGCUUUGAAUCUUUCCUUCUUGGUCUCCUGGAGUCAAUUCCAAAGCAUCUUCUAAUAAAUACUAUUUGACAAUUUGUAAUUUUAUAUAAAUUUAUUUUCCUUAGAGUAUAAACAUUCAAGUCAAUUGUUAUGGCUUCCAAUUUUCAGCUUGUCUAUAUCUCAAGACAGAAUGUCCCCUCUUGACAUCUAGGGAAGCACUCUAUGGAGCACUAUGCAACCUGUACCUCACUGGAUACUAAGGCUAUCCAGCACUACUAUUUUCUCAAGUGAGCUGGGUUAAUGCAAAGAGGGGAAAAAGUGGGGCACACUUACAGGCUGCAAACUGCUGUAUAUGUAAAUCUACAAGUCCCUUCUUUUCUAGCCGCAACAUGCUGGAAGACCCUGACAUUAAAUUGAGUAGAGAAUGUCUUCACGCAGAAAAAUAGUACCACCUGUAGUCUGAACUUGUCAGGGGGUUCUGGCCCCCUUUUAGCAUUUGACCUUCAAUGAAUAAUAUAACUGAUUUAGCCCUUAGCCUGUACCAGCUGCAAAAGUGACAGAUACCUGUCAUAUUUUAGGACGGUUUAUCACCUCAGUGCCUGGAGUGAUUGCGUAUUUAUAGACACAAAGAUAGAUACAUAAAGCACAUAUGUAUAGGUAGGAGACCCCUGGAGGUGGCGAUUAGGACUAGGCAGUAAUUUUAGCUUGAAGUUCCCAUGACUUAAAUAGCCACUUGAGCUCUGCUCUUGCAGUUUACAAUGUCAAUAGAACCCCUAAAUGAAAUUACAGCCUUCUGAUACGCAGCAGGAUAUCCUUUCUUUGCCAUGCAAUGUACAUGGCCAGGAGAAAUUGCUCUGUAUAUGGAGUUUCACUAACGCAGAAUUUAUCAUAAGGCUGCUCUGCUAAAAUAUCAUUAUGCUGUUAUUCACUGGAUAACACAUCUAAUGACUCAGGGUGCACUUGAUAGCCAUGUUUCAGUGAACACAGACGCACGCCCUGAUGUGAACUGGGCACUCCAGUCCUUCAAAGCGCUAUCGAUUUCAAUUCUACCAUAAUUUACACCUGGCUUGUUUUGCCAAUAGCUUGAACCCUUGCUAAGACUGGAACAUACACACACAAGUAGUAGAGAAAUCAGAAAUGAACUGUAUAGCAAAAAUGCAUGCAGCAAACUUUCCAAGAUUCUGCCUUUAUAAUAAUCUCCCUUGAUGCUAAUUAAAUACUCUGCACGACUUUCUCUGUUAUGUUUGAGCAUUUUCCCUGUUAGCACUGUCCCAUGUUUGGUGGUGACAGUAAUAAUAACCUCUUAUAUUUGUACAAACUGUGGGUACUUCCGAGGUGGCAUCUGAGUGCCAGUCAUCUUGGUUCCUCCACCUACCUAGCACAAUGGCUGGCACAUAAUAGUUGCUCAUACUAUUCUUCUCUAAGGCUCCUCUUCCUCUCUCUGUUCCAUAAACAUGUGGACACCAAGGAUCUGCUCCCUUUUGCUGUCAAUAUAGUUUCCUUGAGAAAAGUCCACUCCAUGAUUUUAACUACUACCAUGAUGCUGACAAUUCAGAUGACUGCCAAACUUAUCUCUAACCUUGACCUACCUCCAGCUUUCCUGAGCAAAUCCAACAGCUUACCAGACAUGGGUCUGGAUGCUCCCCCAAUAUCUCAAAAUUAACACAUUCAAAAGCAAAUUUAGCAUCUCCCACCCACCCUACAAAACCUGCUUCUUCUCCUCAUAGCUUUUCUUACUUAGUUGUAUAAGGCAGAAACCUGGGAGCAAUCCAAAAUUCCUUCUUCUCUCGAUGCCCAGCCCAAAGGUUAUUAAAUCGUGUCCAUUCUGCCUCUUAUCUCUUGAAUGUGUCUCCUCCUUUCUAUUCCCAGAGUCGUUGUCCUAGUUCAGGGCUUCAUUGUUUCCUGUCUGAACAAUUUCAGUUGCCUCCUAACUCAUUUUCCUGCCUCUAUUCUCCCAUUCCUCCAAUCUUUCCUCCACCCGGCUGCCAGGGUGAGCUUCUAUAACACAGUUUGAUCAUUAACCUUCUCUACUUAAAACCUUUCAAUGGCUCCCCAAAUGCCACAAGAUGAAGUUAAAACUUCUUUGUAUGGCAAUCAAGGCCCAACAUGAUUGUUCCCUGCUUGCAUCUACAGCAUCAUUUCUCCCCACUCCUCUACUAAACAUCAGUGAUACUGGUCCCCAACUCUGCCAUGCUAUUUCCUAUUUAAGGGUCUUUGCCCCUGCUGGUCCUCUUACUGAAUGCUUUUCCUCCCUCUGACCAUCUGGGAAAAUCCUUUAAGGCCCAGGAUAGAUUUAUUAGCUCUUCUUUGAAGCUUUCCCUGAGCUUCUACCCAAGGUACAUUCAGCUGAACACUCACUAUUUUGUGCUCCAAGGUUCCUUAAAUAUCCCUCUAUUAUGAUGCGUGGCACAUGGCAUUAUCCCAAUUUGUUUCCCUAUCUAUCUCUCCUCUAGCGACCAACCUGAGGUCAUGUCUUAUUCAUCUUCCCAUGGUCAAAGACAAAGUCAAAACCUUCAUAGCAGCAUAUAAAGGCCUAUGUGCUCAGACCCCCACUGCCUCCUCAACAUCAUCUCCAACCAUUCUUCUGCUUACCCACUGUGAUCCUGCCAUAUAGACUUGCUUGUUAUCGCUCAGACCUACUAGAUACAUUCUUGUCCAGGGCCUUUGCAUCUGGUGGUUCCACUGCCAAAAAUGCUCUUGCCUAGAUAUCCACAAAACUUGCCUUUUCAUCUUUCUCAAAUGUUGUCCCCUCAGUGAGGCUUUCCUUCUAUAUCCAGUUUAAAAUGCAACCUUAACCCUGACACACACACACUUCUCUCUCUCAAUCCCUCUCUCUUUUCUCUCUGCUCCUUCACUGUUCUCCACAGCACUUAUCACUACCCAACAUGCUGUAUAUCUUACAUUUUUCUCCCUUGCCUAAAAAGUAGGCAUUAUGAGAACAGAGACUUCUCCUUGUUUUGUUUACUGUAGUAUCCCAGCCCAGUGCCAGGUAUAUAGCAUGUGCUCCUCAAUAAAUAUUCUUGAAUAAGUGAAUCAAUCUUUAGCUUCUAGAAUAAUACCUGACCCAGAGUAUGGGUUCAAAAAUGUUUCUUGAAUAAAUAAAUAAAUAACUUAAUGUUAAAUCCAUGUUUAAUGAAUGUAAUGAAGAAACAGUCUUUGUAAUCUGAUCCUCAUAACACUGAUGAGUAAGUCGAAUGGGUACUGUUAUUCACAUUAGAAGAAUGAAGUUGGUGAGUCCUAGAAAGGUUAGGAGCCUACGUUAAGGCUAUAUGGGUUGUUUAAAGUCUACUAUUUGUUUCAAUUCACUAUUAAAAGGUAGAGACAAUUCUCUGUACUCUGUUCCUGAUGCAGCUCUAACAUUUAUUACUUUAUUUUGAUUCCUCUUGACUAGAAAGGCAAUUAGCAGGAGGUGCAAGGUGCUAAUACUUUUUAUUACAAUUUGUGUCUUUCCUUAUUAGGCGCUUUUCAUAAAACAGAUCCUUUUCUUUCAUUUUCAAAAGUGGAUUAGGCACUCAUACAAUUUUACCCCUCAGAGUGGUUUGUACAUGACUACCCCUGAGGAUGUCAUGCUACAAAUCCUGCCAGAAUGAACUGGAAGGUGUGUGGCAUUUGUAGCUUGAGGAUGAACAGGUUGUUUAGUGCCAAGUUUGUGCUAAUGGAGAUGUCCUCUACGUGUUAACACCCAAAGGAGAACAAAUUCAACAACAAAACAUCUCGGUUUUUGGCAUGUCUAUGGAGAGUUAACUUUACAUUGUUCAAGGGUUAAUUAUCCAUUAUGUGAAUCAUUUCUCUUUCUCCCUCUGGCUGCUUACAUCUAGGAAUUCAGUCUACUAGAGGAUAAGUAGGGAAAAUAAAGAGAUGAGAAUGAAACUAGUCCAUUUUAUUUAUAUUAGAAGCUCCAGAAAAGAAUUCAGUAUAAGAGGCAGAAUUAUAUCUAGUUUGGGACUUGCCAAGUUGAUUGACCAAUGAUAACAGACGUAAUUAAAGCAUAUUUUACAAAUAUUUUGGUUUCUUUUAAUUACUGCUUAUUGGGGUCAGUUUGUAGUAUAUAAAGUUACUCCUUAGAUGUGACUCAUGUCAGCAGGGUACCAUUUAGGAUGCUGGAAAAGGCCCCUUUCCUCCAACAUUCCCAGAGCACUGAAGGUGCCUUAACGUGUAACAGCUUAAUGACUGAAGCAACACCAAGUGAUCCCACCAAUGUCUCUACUCAUCCAUGAGGAACAAUUGCACUUGGCUAUUUUCAGCUAUUAUUUGUCUAAAACGGGGCAUUUAAUUAGUGCUUGUUAAGAUAAUGCGAAUGAUUUGGCUGCCUGUCCUCUUGCCCCUCUCUUUAUUAUGCUGUCUGUCUGUCCUGCCCCUUCUCUGUCGAGUUCACUGGGCAUUCUCAGGCAGUCUUCAUGUCUUACAAAAUCUGACAUCAGCCUGAACUCCUUGAAUGUUGAGUUUGAGGAAAGGAAGAGCCACUGACUGACUGUAAGCAAGUAUUGACAAGCUGGACAGGCCUUUGGUCAAUGUGAUACGUUAUAGGUGAGUCUGGUACUUUCAGAUUUUGCGCAAGCAGACCAAGCUGGCUAUUUGGCCAACUUCACAAGUCCUCAAAAAUGAAUGGACUCACUGCAAGCUCAAGAACCUAUGUCCCAGCAGAAAUCACCUGAGCUUUGUGGGGAUUCGAGAAGCUACCUUGGCAAAGGGCUGGAGAUGCUGACAGCUAGUUGGAAGAUCUAAUACGGGAGUUUAAGGGGCUCACACAUAGAAAAAUCUACUGAAUUGUUUUCUGGACAUAUUUGUUCCAUUAUGAUAAGCAAAAUAUACUCACUGUCAAUGCAUUGACAUAUAGAUAUUCAUUCGUCACCUAUUCAUUAAUCUUCCACUCAGUCUGAGGCAAUUUGACAUUGGUUGGGAAGGAGAUAAACGUAAAAUGCAGUACUUGCUCACUAAUCACUUGUAGUUUCAUACAUACAAAAACCUUCCAUUCAAAGCAGUAUAUAUAAGUGCCAAGUGAACGCUGUAGAUUUUUAAAAUGCUAUCAAUGUCAGAAAGGGAAGUUCACUUUUAGUUUGGUUUAUCAUGGAAAGCUUCAGAGAAAUAAGUGUGACUCGACAAGGAUAUGACGCGGCUGGGUAUCUUGAAAAGGUGUCUGGAGGGUUGUAGUUGCUGAUGCUGAUAUGUAAACACAGCAUCAAAGUAUUUAAACUACAACUAAACAACUGAGAAACUAGAAUAAACUGGGUCAUUUGUACACAAAUUCAUUUUUACAAAAUAAAGUGAAUUCAUUAAAUAUAUUCUCAAAUUUAAUAUAAUUAAUAGCAAUUUAAUUUAUUUCUACUUAAUUUUAACUACUUUCUACAUAUAGCAAUUACUAUUGUGAAGUUGUGCAUAACAGAAUUUAGGCUUAUAAUCUAACAUGGAUAUUUGAUAAAGGAUGAUUACCAAUUCUAUCAGCUAACCAAUCUUAUUGCAAAAACUGUUCAUAAUAUUUGCAUAAAAUUUCUGUAUUGUCAGCGUGAUAAAAUGUUAACUAUAAUUCACCUUUGGUCAACUUGAAAACCAUUUGACUGAAUUCAAAGACAAGUAAGCCUAGCUAGUAUUUGGUUAUAUUUUUAAUAGCUCAAUAUAGUUAUGUGAUUAUGCAAGUAUAUAUGUAUUUACAAGCUAACAUACAUACAUAAUCACAUGAUACAGUGAAUCAACCCCUUAUUUUUAACUUUUAAAAUAUCUAUCUUUUAAAAGCAAUCACAUAAAUAUCAAAAAGCAUUUUCAUACAAAUAAGAAAGAAUAACUUCCUAUUGGGAAAAUUGUAAUUCUGUUAUUUAGCAAUGUUGUUUGUGCCUAAUUGUGAUUGUCUAGUUAAAUGAAUAUAACAUAUAGAAAGUGCUGACAGCUAAAAUGUACAUCCAAGAAAAUAUACAUUUUACAACACGCAUCCUCUAAAAUGAAACUAAAAUUUUCAGAAUGAGCAGUAGAAAAUUGAAUUAUUGAUAGGACACUAUGAAACUUUAUAAUAUAGGCAUUGAAAAAAUCAGAUAAUAUUCAUACAGCCAUUUAAGCAGGAAAAAAUGCAUCAUUAUGUUGCCUCUCUGUCAGAGGUGUACUGAUCAAAUUCUGACUUAUUUACUCCAAUUUAGCCAUGGAAUUCUUCCAUGGCUACGUGGAACUCCAGAUCUUGGAAACAAUAAGGAAAACUUCUCUGACAGGUUAUAUUUUUAAAAUGUCAUCUUUUGGGAUAUAGUCUUAGAUAUUUGUGUUUACCUAUUCUCUGCUUAAAAAUGCUUACAACAUUUUGUACAUAGAUGUAUGAGAUUUCAAUAAUAAAGUGUUUUCAAAGUGUUAGCGAUCCAGCUUGCCUUCACUGCAGUCCUAAUUGACAUCCCUACCAGAGACUAACAGACACUUCUCUCAGGAGUGUGUGCAGCCUGAGCGCUAACUGAGGGAGGCACAGCCUCCUUUGUAGGUCUUGGUAAUAAUGCGCUAAAAGCUAGUUACAUUUUUUAUACCAUAUUUUUAAAACUUUACACUAUUUUCCAUUCAACUUCUUCCUUUAGCAAACAAGAAAACUAAUGGAAAAAUCUCCGAGAAACAUUAUACGUACAAAUAGAAUGGCCAUAACCAACAUUCCUAACUGAAAUAGGGAAACUUUACCAUUACAUACCAUUACAUUUUUAGCGUACUGGCCCUAAUCAAACUGGAGACUGCUUCCUAGCACAAUGACAGCUGAGGAAUCUGAUGUGCCUUGCAAACUAUAGAAGUUGUGGUAGGAAGCUGAUUCUUUGUUCUGGAGGUCACUGACAGACUCUGAUGAGGCUGGAGCAGGAGUCAGUCUCUGCAGGGAGCUUGGGAUAUGUGAACAUGCGUGAGUUCUAUGGCGAAGAAUCUGAAUUGCCCAGAGCAGCAAACAAAAUUCCAAAACUAAGUAUCAAUGUAACAUGUUGGGUGACUGCACCAGCUUGGACGGGAGCACAAGACACAGCUGGUUAAAUGUAAAAUCAACUAUUGCCAAAGCAUUUUCAACUUCUAGGAGAAAUUUAUUGUCAAUGUGUUAACAGCAAGGACAAGUAAAACAAUAAAACAGCAUCUCUCUUUCCAAAUAUUUAAGGACAUCGAGUAAGUGCCCCUUAGGCCGGGUUGUGGUUCUUGGAAGUUGCAGCCUAUGAGAACCAUAUUGGGGACAUCAAAGACUCCUCCCUCUGUCCAAAGCACAAUUCACUUCAGAUGCUGCCAUACAGUCAAAUGCUUUUAUGGCCACCAUGGGUUUUUGCUUUUUUGUUUUUUCCACUCUUAAUAUUUUGGAACAUGCCAGAUUCUUAAAAUUGAAAGGAAGACAAGAAAACACGUUAAGAUCAAAUACCUCUGGGAGAACAACUAAGUAGGGACCCGAUGGUAAAGGACAAAUACACAUUCCACUGAAAUUCGACUUCCAGGGAGAGUGUGAGCUAUUAACAAGGACAUGGAAGGCACAUAUUGGCUCUGAAAGUUGGUCUGUUGACUCGUCUGCUAGUUUCAUAUCAGACAGGAUGCAACUACCCCCAUUCCACUCCUUUGACAACAUCCCAUAGCACACUUGAUCAGUCUCUUAUAGUGAGGACAAUCCUACAUUUGGGUUUAAUACUGUGAGGACAGCCAUCUAGUUUUCCUAUGUCAGAAUGAUAAAUUUCCCAGGAACCAAAUAAGGAUUCUCAUUGCAUGUUUCUGUUCGAUACCAUGAAUGCGGAAGAAUAAAGAAGAGGGUGUGACAAAUAAUAUUUUCCAAAGGUCGGGUGGAGGGAGGUUCCCAAACAUUUAAAAGCAACCAGUUCUUAGCAAAGUGGUCUUCAGAAGAACAGUAUUAAAGGUAUUCUUUUGCUUUGCAUCCACUUUUCUUUCCUGCUUAGCUGGGUAUGGAAGCAUUCUGAGCAUAAUGUAAAUGCUCAGAACAGAGAUGCAUGAAGUUGGUAGAGAGAAACUCCAAAGGAACGACGAAUCCCACUUUCACUUCCCCCUCCUACCACCCCGAACACUACCUCCCCCCACACUCACUCACCUAUCUUCCUCCUCCCACAAGCGUGUUUCUAGGCAUGUCAAGGCUGACAUCCAUCGGUGGCAGCAGGAAACCUAUGCCUGCAGGGUCGUCCUGAGCAUAGACUCAAGGCUCUGCCAUUGUCCAUGGAGCGCUCUCAGCUGUGCACACUAAAAUCUUCAUCAUUCUGUUAGAUUGUUUGGUAGCUUUUUUUAAAAAAAUGUAUCUUUUUUCUUUAAAAACACCCUUUAUUUCCUGACUGCUUCAGAGCCACCAAGAAUAGAAUCCUUGACACAUCAAAUUCUGGAACCUCACCACUCACCAGGACUGUGGUUCCUGAUCCAAGGAGUGUCGACUGAGAGUCAGCACAGCCUCUUGAGAGUGUCCAGGCCUGGCUGCUAAGCUCCCUGCUCUGAUUAGCUUGUCGAGUUCACAGUGUUCCAGAGUGCUGAAGCCCAGAAAUUAGGGAGGGGAGGUGGAAGGAAAAUCACUGGAGCCUCUUGCGAUCUAACUUCCACUAACUGAGAGGAAAUGUCUUAUAAAUAAACAACAGCAAGAGAAACAAAAAAAAACCCAUCCCGUCCUGCCAGAGGAAUGUACAUUAUUGUCUCCCGACGGAAAACUUUACACCACACUCAAAAUGCAGCCAUGUCUCCUGAAACUACCUCCCUCAAAACAGAAAGGAAAAGAGAAUCAAGAAGAAAAGGAGAACAAAAAAAGAUUUUUUUCAUCCCCUUGAAUUCUGUUGGCAAGUUCAUGUGAGUUCCCAGUAGACAAACUAAACCAGCAGUUUCAACAGUGUCACUGUUCCAGGAUUUCUUGCGGAGGCUGCUUAUUAGCAAAAUUUCAUUUCUGCCCAGAUCAUUGCUGUGCCAUCCGGACAUUUUCAGAAGGGAAGUUCAGGGAAGGGGGGAGGGUGCGACUGUGGAGGAGAGGAAGAAGAGAGGACAAAGGAACGCUCCUGAUGAACCGGAAUGCCCUAGCCACGGCCAUGAGAACGCGAGCCCCCUCCCGCCACCCACCUACUGCUUGUUGAGGACUUGGUGAUGCGAUGUGUUUAAUCUACUUACUCUUUCUGCUCGGGAGGCUGAGGUUCCUACAUUUCCAGCUCAUGCUGGACUGUACCGUAAGCAACAAGUGAAAUGAGUUCAGUGAUCUCAUUCUAGUCCUUCGACUCCUGUCCACAUCGCUAAGCGACUGCACAGCUUGGCACAGGCCAGGAUGAGUCAGCAGUCUCUGGUCAUGAGAGGCCAGGCCUGGAAUAGCAGGGGGGUUUAGGUCAGGAGCAAAACGAAGCAGAAAGGCAGUCUAGAUGGCAGAGCUCGGCUGUGCAGCACACAGAUACUGCAGGUCAAAAUGACAGAGGCUCAUCAGCUCUGGAGUGAAGACCGUGGGAUUAUAGAAAAAGGAACAGCAAGAGAAACACUUAGAACAGCUGCCUACCAAACAUAGCAAGAACAAAUUAGAGUACCACGGUCAGAAAAAGAGGGCAUGGUAGAGCCCUGGAGGAGAAAAGAUGCUCAUUAAGAUUUCUGGGAUACCUUUUCUUCCAUGUGCUCCCAAGCUUGAUUUAAGAAAUGGUGGUUACCUGUAGACUAUUCUGGUAUUUUGGUACUGCCUUCCCAAUUUGGUAAGUAGCAAAACAAACACAUAAAAGCAAAGCACUGCAGUUAAACAGCAAGAAGCAGCCUCAUAUUCCACAAAGUAAUGCAAUUAUAAGUAAAAGCUUAAUAUCUCAAAGAUGUCAUUUGGGUCAAUAGUGUCCCUGGAUAGCCUGAAAAAUACUGGCCACAAAAUGGUUAAAGAGAAGCACUCCUUAAAUUGAGCUUGGGUGGUGGUAGAGAAGAGCUAAGAGAAAAGAGAGGCACAAGUUCCACGAUGAAACAGAAGGGAAACAGGACACUGUCUCCACAUUUCUACUCAAAGGAGUCAGCACAGACCUCCACCAAGAAGGGACACUUCCUACCAACAGGACUUUCAAACACCUCUCCCUGUGUAGUAGUAUUGCAAUGUAGCAAGAGAAGAGGGAAAAUAAAAUAGAGGGAAAAACCAGGUUCAAGAUGAAAAAUAAAUCAGUAACAGACAUUUUGGUUUGGAAGAGGCAAAUUGCCCUCUAAGCCAACUGAUAAAGAAAAGUCUUAGUAUCCGAAACAAACUGAGGGGAACCAUGUCUAGAUAAGGAAGCUGGGAUGGAGCCUGAGAGCCAGCACCAAAUAGUAGCGACGGCCCCAAAAUAAGGGAGAAAGCGGUUUCAAGUCAGAGUGUGCAGCAAGAAUGGCAUGGAAAAGAGAAUAAAAUCAACAGGGUUGGGACACACUAGUAAAAGAUGUCUUUAAAGUUCUUUGAAGAGGAACAAUAAGGACUCACUAUAUAUUCCUAAUUGUUUCCACUUAGGGAUGCACAGAUAUGUAAGCUGUGUAAGAAAACGUAGAGUAAAUUUUAUAUAUUUUUCAUUCCAGAGAGUAUUAAAUCAUCUCAACAUAUCUUUAAUAAGUACUUCACCUUGGGCAAAUGGACUUUCUAGCCUCAGUUUUCUUCUCUUUGAAAUGGAAUAAUGUCACCCUAUUUGAAUUAUUAUAAGGACUGAAUCAGUGUUUGUCAAUUCUUAUCACAGCAGUAUCUGCCACAUGGUGAGCACUCAAUAAAUUGCUACUAUUUUUAUUUGAUUAUUAAAUCAUCUUCAUAAGUGCCCAGUGAAAGAAUCAUUUCCAGUGUCGUUCCACUGGAUUGAGGGGAGCCAACAUGAAGACUCUAGUAAAAUCAGUUGAGUAGCAGUCCUCAGAGAAUGCUGCUUUAAAAAGCUUAUUUCUGUCUGGAUAUGUUGAACAUCAUACUUGAACACAGAGCACGUUGAAAAUCUAUUAUGGAAAAAUCUUGAUUUGGGGUAUCUAUGUUGUCAAAGCAGCUUGGAGCUUAACAGUGUCCAGCAACUAGAGGCCUAAAAAAGAAAAGAGGGAUUUUUAGAAGCUUCUCCAAAAGCAACAGGAUAAAAGCGCUAUUGGCCUUGACCGCAUGAUGAGGGUUUUUACCAAAGGGGAAAACUUAGUCCAGUUGAUCAUCCAGCCUAAUUGAUUAAUUGUGGGUCUGACCAUCUGGCUGAUGAAUGCUGACACCCAGCAGUGAUUACUGUGUAACACAAAUCCGGAUGUGCUCUCCCCGAUGCCUCCCACAAUAAUGGCAACUCUGAACUUAAGGUUAGUUUAUUCAGGCUGCUUGGCUCAAUCUCUUCAUGGAACAGUGGUUGUGGCAGGGAAUAUUUUACUAGACCUGGUCAAGCAUUAUCUUCUCUUAUUUCAGUUACCCACUCCUUUCCAACUCUACGCCUACCCACUCCUGAGUCCUCUCUUGUAUAUAAUCACUUUCCAUGCAAAGCAUUCCAUCUGUAGUUUUCAUCAUACUGUCUGAUUCUCUCAUUUCCGGUUGCUCUAUUCUGAAAAAUAUUUGACUGGUCUAAAAGACCUGUACUGCUAUUUCAAAGAGGAUCCUAUUGAGACAUUUUUAUUGUAUCUUCUUUGCUACUGGUUUACUUCACAUCACUCUGUGCUUCCAAAUAAAGAAAAUUAUUUUACCUAACUCACGGGCCUGAUUAAAAGGAUCACAUACGGCCCAAGUUCUCCAUGAGGUUAACAGAACAUGAGGGUUAAAAGAAGAUAAUUCUUGCUUCUUAAACCUCCAUCUGAUCCUCAGUUAGGGUGUGCCAUGGAGAAGAGAUUCUCCCCAUGAGGACUCUGGAGCACAUUUCACUGCUAGAGAAAGUCAGGCUUAUGUAAAUAACAGGGAUCAACAGCAACGCCACCCACAAACCAAUAUACACCUGGAGAUAACCUGUAUGCUGGAGAAUUCUCUAAGCAAAUCAAAUCUGAAUGCAUAAAUAUAAACCCUGGGGAAUUACAACCAAAUUAUUUGAUUAUUUUUGGGGGAAGGCACGGGAGAGUAAACUGAUAAAAUAUGUUGCACAAGCUUGACCAGCAACCCAUAAUGAAGGAGAAUCCUCCAUCUCACCUCUCCUUUCCCCCGACUGAUUUCCAUCUCAAGAUUCACCAUUUUUCUUGCUCCCCACAUAAGCUGAAUUCUUCUAUGUUCCAGGCUGGGUUAGUGUUAAUUUUCAGUAGAGGAUGGCAGCAGCAUGCCGAAUGACAGAGUUCCAGACUGGGAGUUGGGAAAUGCUUUUGGCCUGACUGUCAGUAAACAACUAUGUGUCUAGGGCAAGUCAAGUCCCUUAACUCCCCAUGUCUCAGUCUCUUCAUUGAAAAAUGAUAGGGUAGGACCGCAUGAGCUCCAUAGUCUGUGCCAACACCAAGAUUCUAUGGUUCUAUAGCUCAUUUCCUUUUUCUCUCUGGCAUCCACUGCUCAACAACUCUGUGUAUAGUCAUUUCUCUGUUCUCAGUUACGGAGGGAAAAAUAUCUCCAUUUACUCCCCGGUAUUUGGUAUUUGUAACCUCUCUCUCGUUUUUUGAUACUAGAUAUUUUGAGUCAUAAACAUGAACAUAUCCAGAUAGAUGCUUUAACUUUGAAGGCAUUUAAGGAGAAUAGCUUUCCCAUGUAGAGUAUUCAGUGUAGCUCGGCAUGGAGGAAGCCAGCCAUCCAAAAGUGGAGCAGAGGGGCCAAUUCACAAAUGAGAGGAAGCUUUUCAUAAUAAGAGUCUCCAGACUCUUCAGUUUAGAGAAAGCUCAAAUGCUACCAAAUUCCAGCUACUUUUCCACUCAAUCCCAGACACCAUCACAGACACUUAGGACUACAAAUUUGAGGACCAGCUCUGGCAGGGAUGCAGUUCUUAUUUCACCUCCACCACGGAUUGCCAAGUAGGAUUUAGGAUGGCAUGGUAAUAAGAGCCAAGAGGACAAUCUGUCAUUUAUUUUCCUCCAAACUUUUCGAAAUUCCCCAUUUGGGCUCUGUUUCCCAGUUUUAAUUUGGUAACUGCCAUUUUUCAGCAUUUCUUUUAACAGGUUACUAAUAAUUUCUGAUACAGGAUCUCAUAUUUCAUUUUGUGCUGCUAGAACUGCUGUUAAUAUUUCAUCUGCCUUCAAUUCAGCUCUGAAUAAAGGCUGCUGGGUUUUUGAUACACUGUUAACACUUUGGUUCUGGGCAUUUGAUCACCAGAGUUCCCCACUUUGUCCAUAUCUUGUUAGGUAGGAGUAAUCGACUGCCUGUCUCGGAAAUAGGUCAGGGUGUGCUAUACAUCCUAGGGAUAGUUCAGAGUUUCUUUUUCUGGAUCUUUGAUGAAAACAACAAGAACAAGUAUUCUGUGUUUGUUCUGCCAGGUAACUUGCUAUUUGCUUCAGUGGUAGUGUUCUGGAAGCAGAGUGCAGUGGCUCACAGGCAGACCUAGGUUCCAAUUCUGGCUCUGAAACGUACCACACGUACUGAGUGAGGCCAGUUCCUUAACCUUCUGGGGCCUGUUUUUCCAUUUGUAAAACACAGAUAAUAACAGCAUCUCCCUCUAUUGCUAUGAGGAUUCACCAAAUUAACGUAAGGUGCUGAGGAGUUUCUGAGUUCUCAGUAAAUGAUGGGUAUCAUAUUACCCUAGCAUUGAGAAUCUACAAAUCCACAUUAUAGUGCUAUUAUUUUGCAACAGCUUUUCAAGGCCCACAAAUUACUUUUGAGUCGAGACUUUUGUUGUUUGCUUUGCUAUAGUUUAGAUUUUAAAAAACGCUCAGUGAAACCAAGUAAAAUAUUUAAAAAUUGGUCCUUAAAGUCAUAUAUUCAGUUAAAAACAGUAUAUAGCAUCAUAUUAUUAUGUCACCUUUCAAUCUAGCAUCAAAUUCUCACAACUUUUUGUUCAUCUAACAGCCAGACCUAGAUAAGACACGUUGUGCCACUGCUAAUUAAUUCCAUAAAGAGAAGACUUAUCAUAUUUGCUUUCCCCUACUCCCAAAGAAUACAGAUUAUUUUAAUAUUGUUCAGUUAUGUAUCAGUCAGGGUCCAUCAGGAGAGAGAAACCACGCACCAAUUUGAACAGGAAAAGUUUAAUAUAAAGAAUUAUUAACUGUAACAGGGGAUUGAAGUAAUGAGGGAGUAGCUAGUAAGAAGUAAAGAGAAUUCUAAAUUGUGUAAGAAUAGGCAAAUAGAAGGAGCAAGUGCUACUUGUAGGGCUGAGACAGAGUGCCCAGGGAAGAGGCCCCUCCACCCUUGGAUGGGGAUCCAGAUCAUUGAGGACCAGGCACAGCCACUGAGGGAGUGAACGGCAGAGAAAUUGCUGGGCAGCUGUAUCAGAACUUGCGGGAGAUCUGUAUUCUAGGGUGCCAGGAAAGCUGUUCACAGGGAGGUGUCUCAUCCGAGGCAUGCUGCUACAUAAACCACCCAGUGUGUGUAUGUGUGUGUCUAUGUGUGUGGGUGUGUGGUGCAUGCCUGCGUGCGUGGUGGGUGCUGGAGAAAGCGGCUGGCCCCAGGCACUGGAGAAGCUACCAAGGCAUGUGCGUGCUGCAGGAGCCAGGCCCUGGAGAAACCACGCACACUGCAGGCGCCUGCCAAAAGAGUACAUGGUAACCAGGAAAAAACCCCCCUCCUCCUGUAACGUCUCUCCAAACACUCCACUGACAAAGUACACUCACACCAGCCAGGAAAGGGAAAAUAUUUAAAGGACCCAGACACAUUUUUGUAGAGAAGGCAAGGAAGGGCAAAUUAGGAUUUGACAGGCAACACAUUGAUAAUUGGCACAGUUACCAUUAUUUGCUCACACACUUUAUGAAAUAACUCUCUUUGGAGAUUACAAUCUAGUGUUCUCAACUUACUAGACUACUGUUCAUCUUUAUUAAUAAAUUGACUCUCUGCAUAGCUAAAUAAAUAGUCAGAAUUAAGGAAAAUAAGAUUCUUUUAAAUAAAAGUAGCAAUACUGGUAUUUGUAUAAGAAUGUUUUCCCCAAAGUGCUGCCAACAUGUUUUAAUUGUUUAAAAUUUACAAAUUACCCAGAAAAUGUGCACAGAAAUACUAAACUAUUGAUGUCAAUUUAUGCAUCAGUGAUCCCAGUCCAGAUUUCAACUAAGUGGAUAAUCAGGAGAGUCAUUGCAAGCAAUCCAUAGCUUCAAGAGGUAAAAAUCGCCCCAGUAAUCAUUUUUCCUUUUUCUCUCCUUUUUUUUAAUUAAAUCUAGAACCCAUGUUUUGCUGUUCUAUGACUCAUUUUGGGGAGGCUGUUAAUUCCAGUUGCUAUUUUUCAGAAAAAUAUAUCAUAUAUUACUAGAGAAUCUUUCCUAUGCUCCCUAUCCUAUAUUGUUCUACCCUCAAUAUUAAAUAGACAAGCAUCAGUAAAUGACCAACUUGGUGCAUUCCUCAAGGUAUAUGGUGACAUUGUUAGAAUUGGUUUUACAUAUCGAUGGGGAGGGAGAUGCCAAAAUAUCGCCUGUGUUUUUGCUCAAUUCCUUUAAGAAGGGGACAGAAACUUUUACUCUAUAAUUAGAGGUGGGGUUUUAAAACACAAACCCUUGACACUACAAAAGGUGGUGGUGAGAGGCUGAGAGCACAGAGAGAAACUGAAUGAGAAGGUCCUGUGGAAGGAAGUCCUGUGAGGCUAAGACCCCGAAGCCCCCAUCUCACCCGUGCAUCUGUUUUUACCUAUGCCUGGCCAUGAGCAGCACUGACUGUCCUCGCUAUUAUGGAAGGGGUCUACCUGUUUCCUUACAGUUGUGUUUUCUGAAAACCAGUGUUAUUAGCAAGCAAGGCAAGCCUUGUAGGGCUGUCUCACAACCAUACCGUAGGCAUCCUUGCCAGCUGCGGCACUUGUCUUUAGGAUUUACUUUUGUUUGUGUUGUGUCUAAGGACUGAGGAUGAACCUAAUGAUUCUACCUACAUUUGAUCCCCACCUUGCCAACAAACACAUACACACACUGCUCCCUUGGCAUUGCUGAGUCCAAAAGGAGAUGAUGACAAAGGAGUGUCAUAAGUCCACAGAAUCAGGCAGGCAAGUCCGUUUUAUUUUAGUCUGCCCUUCUGUUCAGCUGGCUUUUCUGCUCUGACCCACUAUACUUACCCUGUCGGCUGCUCUUACUAGCAACAUGCCUUUUUAAUCAGCCUUCCUGGGGUCUGCAUUUGAUUACAGCAUUUGUGUUCUAUUUUGAUUCUUUUGUACUGUGCCCUGUGGUGUUAGCUUGAAAGGUGUUAUUUAUAAAAUGAAAUUCUAUUGUAUUGCCACUUGGAUUCAAAGAGGACAUAUAAUAUUAAUGCAGAAUGUAUUUAAUAAUAUCUUGAAUCUAUUACAUCAAUUUCUUCAUGAGAAUGCAGUAUGGGAGAGGGAGGCAAGUGGGUUGGUAACCAGGUAGUAAGACUUAAGAAUCACCUGAACUUCCCUUCUCAAGCACACAUGAAAGCUGGCACAAGGAUUGUUCUCUUAACCUCAGGGUUUCUAGAAGGAGGAGACUGUCUUUCCUCAGCCAGACCAGUGCAGCAUGCACCUGUUUAAACAUACAACUGUGAAGGCUAAACAGUGUCCUAAGCCUCAGUUGCAAAUCUUUUGACUAAGGAAACCAUGAGAUGAAAGAGGGAUAUGACUUUUUCACUCCCUAGGAAGACUUAGGCAAAGAAGGAAAUAUAGUCACCUGUUUCCAAGGGGCUGCUUGCAAGAUUUGUAAAAAGAAGUAAAUUUCCUAUGCUCCUGACUCUUCUCAAAGGCAGGCUAAGAAAAUUCCAGCUAUAUACUAAGAACCAAGGCAGAGUUUCCAGGGGGGCAUGUUCAGAAUGUUCUCACCUACUGAAAGUGCAGGUUUCUUUACGGCUGCUGGGCCUCUAGUCAAUGUUUAUGGAUUAGAUUGAUGGAGGAGUCCCCAACUUUUCUUCACUUCUAGUUUAAUGCAAACCAAAGACUGUAACGUUAUAUCACUGUAUCACAGCUUGCACAUCACAUCUGUUGCUGCACACAUUCCAUUCUUCCCCUACAUUUCUUUUUCCUGUUGAUAGGUCUGAAAUCAUCAAUGACUCAGCCGCUGUUUGGGAAUAAGGAAGGGUCAGGUGUAGAAGCUGGUUUAGCAAUCAGGCUCUGCAGAACUUGCUAGAAGAAACUGUCACACACAAAGGGAGCUGGCUGAGUAGUUCUGGAGAGUGCCUAGAUUGCCACCUGUUCUCGCUCACUGGAUCGUUAUUAACUCCAGAAAACUCAGGGUCCAGUUUUCUAAUCACUAAAUUAUAGUGAUUAAAAGUGGGAAUAUUAUAUUAAUAUUAAUAUACAACAUAUUAUAUUAUAUAUUCCCACUUUAGUGGGAAUAACUAUAUUUAUCCUUUUCUACAUGCACUAGGCUUCUUUAGGGAUGAAUGAGAUAAGGGUUCUGGAAUGCUCUGAAUUCUUUGCAAUGAAGGUGGGAUACAAAUGCACAAUAUUACUAAAAUGAUAGUUCAGACUCCUCUUUUGAUUCUCUAAAUCCAUAUGAGAAACACUAACAAAUGAACGAAUUUCCACCCUUCUGGGAAUAAAUCAUAUACCCUCAUUCAUAAACGACAUCCCAAACAUAAGAAGCUAAGAUGUGUUGGGAAACACACAUCUCAAUCUUGAAUGCAUCAAAUUAUAAACUACUUGCAUAAAAAGAUCACAUUAUUCAUCUCUGCAACCAUCCAGGUCCUCCCAUAUUGAUUUGCACUAAGUAUCCCAUUAACAUUUGUUGAAUUGAACUGAAAAAUGAGAGCAUACAAUUUUAGAGUGGAAAGUAGCUAGAGAUCGUGUAAGGCCAGUUACCCCAUUUUGCAGAUAAUAAAACUGAUGCCCAGAUAAAUUAAGUAAUUUAUCCAGGUGCUAUAUUAAUAACGUUACAAGUCUUUUGAGGAGUUGUUAAAAUCUGCCACUGAAAAUAUAUCCCUCAAUCAAUUAAAACAAAACAGAUGUUCUUUUGUCAAAAUAAGAAGUACUCUUCAGCUCAAAUAAUCUGAAGUAUUCUAAUCCAACCAGGGAGGCUGAAGCCUAAAGAAAGAAGUAAACCUCACUAAAUGUCUACAGACCAUACGAGUGCUAGAAAUGCCAAGUCACGGAGGUUGCACAUUUCUACACUGUGCCUAUCCCCCAGUCCACUGGCAUAUUUUUCAGGUAAAAUUAAGGUCGUGAAAACAAAAAGUAAUGUCAAAUCUUUGAAAUUAUGUGGGAUUCAUGGAAGCGCAAUUCAAAAAUGAAAUUACUUUCAUUUAUUAUUUCAGUCCACUAUUAAGCCAUAUCGUUGACUGUAAGACAAAUUUAAAUUCUAGGGUUCAGGAAACAAAACAGGACAAGACACUUUAUCCUUUGUUGAAUAAAAAAUAAGCAGGCCUAUAGUGAGAAACACAAUUUCCCUUUAGUGGAAGUUACUUGUGUGGUAUUUGCAGAAACAAGUGUGUUUGACUCUUGGCUGCGUCAUCUGGUCAAAUCAGUACCAGAACAAUAAAAGCCAGUGAAACUAGCCUUUCGACUGACCUGAUUGUUUUUUUGGACAGUAUUAAUUCUUUUUUCCUAUCCUUAACUUAAAUCAAUUAAGACAUUUAAAUUCUUGAUUAGAAUGUAAACAAUUUGUAGUCAAAGUUAUUUUAAUAAUCUAAAAAUUGCAGCAGAGUGACUGGCAUAGAAACUAAAGAAAUGUAAAAUUUCAAUUACUGUAAAGUAGGAAUCAAGGAAUCUCCAAUGCACUACCCUUCACGUUGGAAAUCCCUGAAGAUCACAGAGAACAGAACAUGGGGAAAAGGGGAGCAAGUGACAGUAUCAGGCUUGGUGCUUCUAAUAGUUGGAGGGCCUGUUGGAGACCAUUGUUUGUGUAUUACCAAAACUUGAUUCCAGAAACACAAAUGAGUUUUCAAAGGUCAAGUUCAAAUCAUCAACCUAGUAUUUCAGCCUCCAUUUCUUGCUCUACAUUGUUUAGGCAUCCCAGGUUCCAGUCCUUCCCAACGAAUAUUCUGGAGGGUAGCCGGACUAUAUUAGCAUUUCUCUUUAUCCUGGUAUUGCCAAGGGAGCUCUAAAUUUUAAAUUUUCUGUUCUAUGCUCCGCAUGAUUUGUGAACUCAUGUCUGGACCUUUGCAUUGGAAUAUUAUGCAUUCAUUUACUAUGAUUCAAUAAGCAUCUACUAUGUGUGAGACACUAGGAAAAUAAAUAGGAAUAGGCUUUACUUCCUGCCUUCAAAACAUUAAGGAAUUCACAACAUAGUGGCUAUUCCCAUGUACAGCGUAUAUGUGCCUGCUUCUAAGCUUUUGUUCUUUUCUUAGUUGGAGUAUCCUAUCCUAUCACUGUUCUUUUAUCAAUGUGAUUGCUUUAGUUAUCUUGUAGUCCAGCUUAUGUUCUACUUCUGCUAUAAAUCAUUUUCUAGUUUUUGUAGUCCACGUUAAUUUUCUUUUUUUUUCUUUUGACUAGUACAGCUAGCGCAGACACUAUUGCCUGCCCAAUAUCCAUUCCUCCAAUUCUUCCCAGCUAGAUCCCUAUUUUGUUCAGAGCGGCAAUGUGCUCAGUCCUGGAUGAUGAGUUAUGAUAGUUUGAAGCCAAUUAUGACAAAUCUGUUCCCUGAUUUCCUUGCCUCCCUAGCAACCAAGGGUGGCCUUGGGACCCAGUUCUAGUCAAUAAGAUCUAUGUGGCAAUCUGCUCAAGAGGCUGUUUUCUGAGAAAGCUUUUUCUUUUCUGAUAAAAGUAGAAGUGCAAAGUGAUCCUUCUGCUUCCCUCUUCUUUCCUCUUUGAACAUGGACAUGAUGUUUGGAGUUACAGCAGCUAUUUUGUGAUCACAAAGCAACAAGCAUGAAAAAAAGGCCAAUAGAAUCCCAGAGAUGUUGGCCGUGACUUUAUCACACACCGGCAACUCCCUACCUCUGGACUUGUUACGUGAGAAAGACAAUUCCCUAUUUGUUUAAGCCACUCAAGUCAGGAUUUCUGCUACUGAACACAUUGCUAACCAAGAAAUAGCAUUCCUAAUUUGAAUUAUCCAAACUAUUCUUCCUAACUAGAUGGCAAACAUUGGUCACAUUCUUGGCACUUAAUAAAUAAAUAUUCAUUUGCUUCAUAUCUUGAUUAUGUAUACUAGACAUUCAAUAUAUGUAAUGAAAUUCCCAGUCUGAAACAAGGGGAAAAUUGUAUUAGGACAAGAAAAGAGGAUUAAACCAGGCCAAGUAAGAAAAAUUUGAGUCUAAAAUAAGAAGUUCUAUGACAAGAAUUUGUUACAAUCUAGUUUACUUAUUAAUACAAUAAAAGCAAACUUUUAAAAGUUUUCCAAAAUUAGUAAAACAUAUCUUCAGUAAGAAAUAAGACGUUAGAAUAAGCCCCGAAGGGAUGGAUGUUUUAAAGAAGAGAUUACAUAAACAAGAUUCCUAUUAAAUAUACAGAAGGAAACGCUACGCACUUCCAGCUCUCUUAAUAACUGAGGAACCAGCACUUGUCAAAAAUCACCAGCAACAAGACAUUUUCUCUGUCCCUUAGGUAGAAUGACUGUGACUCACCCAAAUGCUCCAGCCUCCUUAGCAUGCUAAUUAGCUUCCAAAAAUCUUUCACCUGAGGUUUGAACCCCUGAGUGAGGAAACUAUUAUAGCAUUCGCUUUUGGAGAAAAGACUACAUAAAUCGGGAUAGAAGCUAUUUUCAAGGCUUCCAAAUAUUACAAGCAAUGGGGAACUGUUGAGGAGAGAAAUAAGUAGCUUUGGGUCGUUUUAGGUUAGCGACCUUAAAUAUAAGGUGUGAUUUAAUCAGAAGCCAGAGUAAUCAUGGCAGGAGGUGGGGAAAAAGACUCAGAGCUGCCUGGAGUUGGGGAGACUUCGGCGGCAGCUUCCGGCUGCAGCUAAAACGGCAGCUUUCUCUCAGAGGCACCACAAACAAAGGGCUGCAUUAUGUAACGCAUCUUGUCUUUCCUUUGUGAACUCUUCCACAACAAAGUUUCAUUAGUUUUUUCCCCCCCCCCUAGACAUUUUACCACUUCUAGGCUGCAACUUCUUGUCCAGAAGGGAAACUUUCUAUCUCAAAUAAAAAUUUAAAUUGCAAGAAAACGGUCUUGUUUUUCAGGAACCAAAUCAAAUACUUUGAACUUUACACUGAGUGGGGAAAUACCUCUUAAGCUAGAUGGACAAAAAUAACCUCGUUUGAAGAAUUUCUGAAUAAUUCAGCAACAGUUAGCAAUAAUUAUCAGACUCUCUCUCUCGAUCUAUCAUUUUCUGGUGGUGUUUCUCUAUCAAAGUGUAUCAAUCUUCUAGAGGGUCACCUUUCAAUACAACAUUUUAUAGGCAAAAUUUGGAAGACAGCAUGUUGCAUGUACCGUACAUAGCACUACAUUCUGAGGAACAGUAUCUUUCUUCAAAAUAAAAUGUAUUUUUGUGCCUGUUACAAGGAUAUUCUAAGAUUAAAUACAGUCCUAUGCUAUCAAAUUUGGCUUUGAUGGGUAAAAGUCUGUUUUUUAUCUCUUUAAUUUUUCAUCAAUUGCUGACUUAAGAGCCUUCCAUUAUGUAAUAUUAUUUUGAUCAGCUGUAAAAAUAAUUUAACUGCUGAAUAGAUUUUCCUUUUUAACAUUCCAAAUGUUGGCUUAAGAUUUGUCACUUAGACCCUUAGAAAGUGACUAAGGUUUACUGGACAAUAUUGCAUGGAACAUGUCUUUUGGUCUGAGAGUGUGGGUUGUGCAUAGUCAAAGUUCAGAUGGGAGCGCCCAAGUAGCCAGUGGUAUAAAAAAAUUGGGGGUUUGAAUCUCAGCAGACGACAAUUUUCCUUCCGGUCUUAAAUGGAUGCCCCAACACUCUGUCAUUUCUUGGGCAGAACGUGAGAGCGAAGCAUUCUAUGGUGCCUGUAGAGCCUAAGAACCAACUUCAUGGGAACUGGCAAUCAAGGCAAGUUACAAGUCAAAUAUAUAGAUUUUCAUUCUGCUGGCCUUUUUUCAUUCAAAAUGCAUCACUCUCAGACUGAGAAUUAUGUCUUAUAAUUUGGGUAACCAUAUCUCCCAGUUUACUCAGGAUAAUUCCAGUUCCAGUUCCAAUUUUCCAGGCACAAUGAUUAAUAGUGGCCACUUUCACUCUCAAAAGUGUCCCAGUUUAGAUAAUAAAUUAUGAGGUUAUCCUAAAUAUAAGCUUUAAAAAAGUUAUUUAUAACACCAUUUACAGUGAUAAUCAUUCUCUUUAGGACAAAUUAAAAUAGUCGCUAUUGGUCAACUUCUAUAAAGAGAAAGAGAUAAACUAAAACUGUAUUACUUUUAUCUCAAACCAGAGAGCUCUUGCCAUCUAAAAGUUUAUUUUAAGAUGAGAAUAAUUUUAGAAAAUCAGAUUUCUAUAAAUUAUUUACGAUUCCUAAUUUUAGGUAGUCUUGGGUUUUUUUUUUAGCCCUAUUUCAUACAAGGAGACAUAUCUGCCCUUAAAAUUUGUUGUAAUGAAAAAAGCACGAGAUCUGAAAUGAAAUUCUUUAAAUCUUGGAUUUGAAUCCUAAUUCAACUAUUUGCUCAGUUGGCAACUUCAAAUAAUCUCUGUGAACAUCAUUAUUAACCCCUCCUAAACUGUCUUUAAGGAUAUUUGAAAAACCAGAAGUGAAAGAGCUAUACAUAAUGUAAAAAGCGAACAUAAUUUCAACAUAUUUACUAUUAUUUCUUUUUAUAUUAAAGACAGCUUUCCCCUUUUUCACUCCUAGGACACUUGUAUGGACUGCAGAAAAAUUGCCCAUAGCAGCUAAGAUGGAGCCACACGUGUGGGAGCAGGGAUCUUCCACUAGAAUCUCCUGCUGACAAGCUCCAUCACAUUUCUGGGUGACACCUGUGCAAGGACAUUGAUGGCCCACAAAGAUCAAAGAAGAAAGAUUAUGGACCUUGUGCACUGAGGCCAGAGAAUGAAAGGUUGAAAUUGAAAGUACACAACUCUGAUCAAAAGUUUUGUUAGUGAUUUCACAAGUUCCUGAUAUAGAUAAUCUGUCCUCAAAAGGAAAGAGAAACUUGAACUAAGAGGAGCUGAAACGGAAAGGCUAGUUUGUGGAGCAGAAAGAAUUUUCUCUUUAAAUUUUUAAGAGAUUACUGGAUCCCUACAGAUAUAUUCCUCUUUAUUCUUGUUGAUGUUCUCCUCUUUCUUCUCUGAAAUUCUAAAUUCUUUGGCCCAGAAAAAAACAUGGGCAUUAAAACUUACUUCUCUUAAUCUAUCUGACAUCACAAUUAUAUGGAAAGUGUUUUUAGUUUUUCAUCUAUAUGAAUGUAAACAAGUGAUUUUUAUUUUUUAAAAAGUCUUGACAUGUCUUGUUUAAAAGGCAUUUCUUUAGAGCUUUUAAUAAUUGUAGGAAAAGUUCUUAUAAAUUAUCCUUCAUCCAAAUACUUAAGUAGGUAAAUACACUAAAUGGAGAGCUAAUCCAGUAACUCAUGGCAUUUUUGUCUGUUUUAAAUUGACUACUCUGAGAAUUAGAGCUCCAGUACCUAAUUCGAAGGCUCAAGAUCUUUAGGUUUGUACAAGGUUCUAUCAAGCAACUCUCUAACUAAUGACUCUCUAUUUUAAAUAUACUCUGCUUGCCAACGAGGUCACAUAAAAAGAGGAGUGAAUGGCAAGAGGCUGUAGAGGAAAAAGGAAUGCCAACAAGACUGUACUUAGUAUCCCCGGGCUGAAAAAGAGCGCUAGAAAUCAUCCCCCAUCCCUUGGGAGAAAAAUCUCUCUCACACAUUCCAUCUAUUAGAAGUUCAUUUGUGUUUAACAAGCCCCACUUUUAAAAUGCAAAUCUGCCUUGUGAACCUGUAAACCACCUUCACACCUUAUUGUUAAUUACUUUGAUGUUCUAGAAUUUGAUCAGCACUUAAAUUGAUAUUGGCAAUCUAGGAAUGAACAAAUAGCUCAGGGUGGAAAAGGGGAAAUUUUGGUGGAGGUGGUAGUGAACGGAUCUCGUCUGUGGGCAAGAGAGCAUCUUGAGAUUGUGCAGUUUUGUCUAGGAGAGUGACAGCUGCUCAGGGACCACAAAAUGAGCACUUUUCUUGAUUGCCAAUGUCUGGCUGAGAUCAGAAUAGGGCCGGAAGCCUGCAAACUUCAAGUUUUAAAUAAUUCGUCAUAGCAAGUUGAGUUUAGCCUUUCUUGGAAACCUUUCUAGCUAAUUCUUACUGUCUCCAUAAGCUGGCAACCUUGGAUUCUAAGAUUCAUCUAGUCCAACCUCCCAGGUUUGAUACUCAACUGAUAAAUGAACUCCAGAACAAAGUGAAUGUGGUUCAGUCCUUUUUCAUCGUCUCACUAGUCGUUCACCUCUUUGGAGACUAUGGUAGGUAAUCCUAGAACACACCGUAAGCCAUUUUGGAAGAAUAUAGGAUGAUAUAUUAUGUCUAUAUCUGUUUUAGCAAGUGCCCCUUGAUCCGGUAGAAAAGGUUUCAAAAUUUGAAUUAGACUUCAGUUGACUUAAGCUACAAGUCUUAGCUAGACAGAAAUUGAAGGAAAAAAUAUUUUAUGACAUUUUAUAACAUUAUUAGUCAUCUCUCCUUUUAUAUGAAAGAUAAUUAUACUAAAAUCUUCACUGUUAAGAAAAGGGGUCAACUUUCCCGCCAAAAUGGCUAAUUUUAGUUUUUAUGUGGUUGGAUACAUUUGUAAACUAUUACACAAAAACAUAUGGUUGGAACAUGCUUAUUCCUUCAUGAGUGUUCCUCUUUUGAGGUUGCAAAAUUUUCCUUACUUGUUCCAUGUGCUAUUUUGUUGUGCUGAUGGCUUCUUGUUCUAAAUAAUUUUCUUCCUUUUCCAUUGUUAAUGAAAUGAAUUCUAAUAAGGAACAAAAGAAACCCUCUAAUGAAAAUCCCUGUCUUAGAGAUGUGGGCUGGGAGCUGAUAUAGGACACAGGGGACAGCAAACAUUGUGUUGCACAUUCUUCAAUCAAUUGAUCCCAUUGUGCUUUAUUCACCUGAAUGCAUUUUGACAAGUCGUGAAGCAAUAGUGGGAAAGGGAUUAUUUGUGUGGUUAAUUUUCAGUUACUUAUAAAGUACUAGACAAGUUUUUCUUAUUAAUAAACAUAAAUCUACACACUUUUAUCUUCCAUCAGAUCAAUGAACCACCAUUUUAAAAUAUCUCACCCAUAGAGAGGAAUGAAAAAUCCCAGCAGUAUUAAAGUUUCACAAAGCUUGACCUUGGAAUUUUGGUAUAUGAUUCUCAGUUGAUCUUUGAGUGUAACAGUCAACUAUUAGGCUGGCAUGGUUGAGGUGCAGUUCUUUCAAACAGAAGGGUGUUGUAGAACAACUGAGAAUCCUUCCAACUACUUAAUUUUAUUUCUUACUUUAUAUUCUGCCCUCACCUUUCCUUAUAACACUCUUCUUCCUUUUCCUACAUAUUUUCACUCCCAUACCUUCCCAAUUCUGCUUGACAGUGAGACCCUAUUGUUUUGGCAUAUAUAAUUCUCUAUAAAUACUUGUUGAAUGCACGAAAAGCCAUCUGGACAAAUAUUAUAAAGUGAACCAUAGAAAAAAUCUUUAAUUAAGCAAAUUAAUAAAUCUACAGCUUUGGGAAAAAAAUCCAUGAUAGUAAAAAAGUGAUUAAUAGUUCCAAGUAUAUUUAGGAAGGAUGAGGCCUAGAAGGUUAAAAAUGAGAAAUUAUAGAAUCAGAAAAGAAAACAAUGUUACAGCUGAACACAAUUGAAAGCACAUGCAGAAGAAAGCUAAUAUAUUGUUUAUGAAAAAAUUAAACGGAAAGACUGAAAUCAGAAUGUUAGUUGGUAUUAUUAUAUCAAAAGCCAGAAAGUUAUUUCUUUCUGCUCCAACUCUAGAGAGAACAAAUACUCCAAUGCCACUAAGAGCAGAAGAGGGAGAAAUGUUUAGAAUUUAAGAGUUAUAGCAGAUAAAAGAGCUAGACGUUCAAGGUAAGCCAGAUUGGUUUGUGUGGUAACCAGCUUCCAGGAUGACUCCCUAGGAUCCCUGCCUCCUGGUGUUCACCCCCUCGUAUAGUCCUGCCUACAGUGUAUCCGGGUUGGUCUGUGUGACCAAUGCAACAUGGUAAAAGUGAUGGUGUGUGACUUAGUGCUAGGUCAGAAAGGCCAUUCUACUUCUCCUUACUCUCUUCAAUCACUCACUCUGGGGAAGCCAGCCCCUACGCCCUGAGGGCAGUCAAACAGCCCUAUGGAAAGGUCCACAUGGCAAGGAACUGAGACCAUCAGUCAACACCGACUUAUGAGCCAUGUGAGUGAGCCACCUUGGAAGUGAUCCCCCAGCUCAAGUCAAGCCUUCGGAUGACUGCAACCCCUGCUGACAUCUUGACGGCAAUAUCAUGAAAGAUCUGAAACCAGAACUACCCCACUAAGCUGCUCCUGAAUUCCUGAUCAUGAGCGAUUCCUGAGAGAUAAUACAUGCUUACUGUUUUAAGUCAAUAGGUUUUGAGGUAACUUUUUUUUUUGUAACAAUAGAAAACUAAUGCAGUGAUUGUGGCUUUUUUUGUGUACCUCAAGUGCACAGAACCAGAUUAAUCAUAAUCCUUGGAACAUGAUGCAUACUCAUUAUUUGUCCAUGCUUGGCCUAAUUUUAUUCACAUAGUUAUUUUUUAAUGAAUUAAUAAACCAUCAAACUAAGUUCCUGAAAGAAGAGCUAGGAACUUUAUAAUAACCUACAUCUAUCCAUACAGUUUACCCCAUCUUACGUUCUUGCCUCUUCUACCUAAAAGAACCAUUAUCCUGAUUCUAAUGUUUAUCAUUUCUUUGUUUUCCUUUUCAUGUAGUUUUAUCACAUCUAUAGGUAUUCUUAAAUUUAUGUGUCUGUAUAUACAUAUAUGUGUAUGUGUGUGUAUAUAUAUAUGCAAUAUGUAUGUAUUCUGGUUGCUUUUAACUUUACAACAUGCUAUUAUGCUCUAUAUAAUAUUUUCAGAUUUAAUUAGUUUCACUUAAUAUGAUAUUGUUAAGGUUUAUCCAUGUUGUUGCGUAUCAUUGCAGUUCAUUCAUUUUGUGUCUAAUUAUUGAUGCUGUCAAGAUGGUCAGUAAGACAGAGAAACAGGACUAACAAGCCCUCACAUCACAGAAUUAUUUAGUUGUGGGUAGGAAGGAUAAAGCAUAUUUAGGAUAUAAUUUAAAUGAAUUCACUAGCUCUAGAAAUGAAAAAACAAACAGAAAAUUAGUUUAGAAAUUUAAAAAAAUUUCUUUUCCUAUGGAUAAUGAAUAUUCAAUAGCAUAUUAUAGUAAACCACAUACAUUUACUGUUGAUAUAAUACAGUUUGUUAUACACACACACACACACAAACUAUGGGCCCCACAGAUAUCAGCUGAAGUGAAUAUUACAAAGCUCAAAGACCAAGGAAAAUAUAGUAAGAGUUGCCUAUAUAAAAAUAAAAUGUUAGUGUUCUAAAGGAUUCAUUGUGGGGCACUAUAUUGGUGAGCAAAUACCAAAGAUCAUCUAUUCUUUUCUUUAAGAAUGCAUAUAUCCAUUUUUAUGUAAAUAAUAUUUAUGUACAAAAAUUUUCUUUACUACCGACUGUUCUCAAACACAAGUACAUUAUCAAAGAAUUCCUGUAUAUGAUUACUUAAUAUCCACUUCAAACCUUUAUGAAUACCAUUUAAAGCAUUACUUACAAAUCUAAUGAAUUUUAUAGCCAAAUGGUGAAGAUCCCUCAACCUCACCUCUCCCCCUCUUCCCAAUCACUCAAGGAUUAUAUGUCUUUGUCUUGAUGGCACUAUCCGGAAACUGGCCUCAUUUGUUAAUUCCAGAAAUGUUUCAACUAUAUUUGUUUCAGCCAGCUGUUUCCUGAUAUCCUUCUGGCUGGCAUCGGUUUACAAUGGACAGUAUUGUUGAAUGUAAAAGUCAUCUUAUUGUAAUAUUAUUAUUAGUUCCCCUACAUUCCCCACCCUCCUCCCUCCACCAGCACCUCAAAGAGGGAUGUUGAGUCAUGGAGAUUUAACAUGACUCCUUGAGCUAACAGACUUAUAGUACAAACACACUUUUGGUAUCAAGUGGCCAAAUUAAUUUGAUCCAUUAAAUUGGUAUUUAUUUGACCAUUUGGAUCUACCAAAUAGACACAAACACUUCUCUGACGACACAAUUACAAAGAAUGUGUGUGAAAACUAUAAAGUAGGAGAUAUUUCAUUCUUAGUCCUUCAGUAAACAGAUUAUGUAGCUUUGAGGAAUAGAAGGAAAAGAAAUACUGAUGAAAUAGAGCCCUAAACUAUGGCAUAAAGUCCAAAGCAUGGAGCAGGUCAGAAAAGAAUGCAAAGGAUUAGCAGAAUUAAUGAAGGUGAUCAGAAAUACUGACAGAGGACAGUCAUCUUUUUAUCCUUAGUCAUUUUCCCAAGGCCCUUUAUCAAAAAUAGGGCAUAACCAUUUUAGGAAUAAAUUUUUCUCAAAUUUCUCAGUUUUCAAAAAACCUGCACGCAAGAGAGAAAGACUAUAUGAAAAGCAGCUAAGUGGGAGAACAAUAGGAGUCUAUGGGCCAAAAAGGAGGGUCCCCCAGCCAGCCUUUAUCUUGAUGUCCUCUCUCAGUAGGAUUAUGGCGGAUGGAAGAAGUUUGGAAAAUGUCUACGUGGGAAUCAAGAAAAGUGGAAGCUCUAGUUUAAAGAGAAUGCAAGGUAUAUUUUUUUCUCGCUGGUACUAGUGUUUGUAUUUGGAGAAGGAGUCUACUUCCUUCUAGUGAAAACUUCUCCUUCCUCAUGAAAACUCCAUUCAGAACGUUUGCCAGUCAAGGCAACAGACUACAGGCAGUGGCAAUGGGAAAGAGUUUAAGUUUAAGAUUUGCUUUGGAGCUUGUAUUGAUAAAAUGUGGUGAAAGCAAGCUAUAUUGCACAAUAAGCCAAAAAAUAGAAUAAUCUCUUUCUUCCAGUCUAUUGCAUAAAGGAGAGUUAGUUGACUUUUAUAUUGUAAAUGUAAAGAAAACAAAAGUCUCAUUCAUCGUCCGGUAAUGAUGCCAGUCUAAUUUGCUAUUAAAUUUCCGUUCAAACCCUCUAUUUUGUUUAGUUACAAGGGAUUUGAUCCCCUUAAACUUUCCCAGGCAGUUUGUAUGGAAGUCAAUUGCUAAGGGGAUUCCUAAGGGAACCUGCAAAACAUUGGAAGAUAAAUAACCUCAGUACAAUAUGCAGAUUAAGUAAAGGGAAGGUUUAAGAGUUACCUUUAGAAAGGAAAAGAAAAGAUUUCGAAUUCUGGGCCAGAGGUGCUAGUUAAUCACUGAUCGGAAGGAACUUAGUCAAGGCAGCUUUACACUUCCCAAGAAGGAAGGACUUUCCAUUUUCCCUCUUGGGAAUAAAGGUAAAAGUCAUCAUCGAGAGGAAGCUGAAGGGGAAAGUUCGUCAUUCCCUCUCUUACAACCUUCCUUUUCUUCUUCCCUCCACCUCUGUAGCUCUUCCUUCAGUAACUCAAAGGUAAAGGAUCUAAGAAUAGGAAGCCAGAGGUGGCAGCUGGGGGGUCUCAAAAGUCUAAAGUGAGGUUCAACUUCUGGGAAAAGCUUUUGGCAAUUUACUUAGUUUAAGUGAAAGAAGCAAUUUGAUCUGUUAGGAAAAGCAGGGACUUAGGCUCAGACAGCUGUGAAUUUGAACCCAAGCUCCACUAACCUAUUACCAGUGUGACCUUGAGCAAGUUAGCCAACCUGUUUAAACCUCUCGGUUUAGUCAUGUCUAAAAUGAUGAUUACCUAUGAAACCUGUCUUACGUAUACUAUGCAGGUACUUAGUAAGUACUCAGUACUUCUGUAGUAUCUCUCUAAACUGGAUCUGGGGUAACGAGUUAGUAUCAUGACAUUUGUAUGAGACAAAGGAAAGAUAUUUAAUCCUGAGAGCACUCACCGUCUGCAACAAUCACUGGACAAUUGACCAGAUGGUAUUUGGUUGAUAUCUUUUCAUUUACUAAUUGAUAAAAUUUUUGGGUGGAAGAAAAAGGACUAAUCUCUAACUUCUAUCAUUUAAAAAAAACCUGAGGGGCCAGCCCGGUGGUGCAGCAGUUAAGUCUGCAUGUUCCCCUUCUCGGCAGCCCGGGGUUCACUGGUUGGGAUCCUGGGUGCUGACAUGGCACCUCUUGGCAAAAGGCAUGCUGUGGUAGGCAUCCCACGUAUAAAGUGGAGGAAGAUGGGCAUGGAUGUUAGCUCAGGGUCAGUCUUCCUCAGCAAAAAGAGGAGGAUUGGCAGCAGUUAGCUCAGUGCUAAUCUUCCUCAAAAAAAACAAAAAAAAUUGAAGGUGAGAACUAAGAAAAAGAAGAUAUUACUAGUUUUUUUUUUCAGGAAGAUUAGCCCUGAGCUAAUAUCUGCCGCCAAUCCUCUCUCUCUCUCUUUUUUUUUUUUGCUGAGGAAGACUGGCCCUGAGCUAACAUCUGUGCCCAUCUUCCUCCACUCUAUAUGUGGGACGCCUGCCACAGCCUGGCUUGUCAAGCAGUGUGCAGGUCUGCACCUGGGAUCCCAAUGGGCGAAUCUCAGGCUGCCCAAGUGAACCCAAUAGCUGCGCCACCAGGUCAGCCCCAAUACUAGAUUAUUUUUAAGGUUAAUCUUAGAGAUUUUUCACCAGCCUCUGGUGAUUAGUGUUCCCACAUUAUAGAACAUGUUCUCUACUUGUACUUUGAUAUGGUUGUCUAUCAGAAGGGUAAAAAGAUGUACUUUACAUGUAAAUUUUAAAUAAAUUUUGUGUCAUGUUUUGACUAGUUAUCCUACCUGUAGUAUUGAAUUCAUUAUGAUAUUCCUUACAUUUUUGUCUGAGCACCACAGUUUAAUAAAAAAUUUACUAAGGAAUCUAUUAAUUAACAUAAUUAAUGUUUAUUAUUUAUUACACACUAGACAUUGUACUAAUCACACUAUUAUUAGUAUUUUAAUAUCAUUAAUAACUAUAAACAUAUUAUACGUAAUAACAAUAGGAACCAUUUACUGAAGGCUUUUUGUGUACCACACUUUGCUAAGCAUUUUAUAUACAUUUUCACAGUUAAUACUUUCAAAGACCUAAUGCACUAAGUAUCAUUGGAUAAAUGAGGAGACAUGACAAUCUUUUCUUGUUAAAGGAAAACUCACCAUAUCGGAACAGUCUUCCAAGUAGUGAUAGAACAGAAUGGUAAUAUUUAACUUUAGAAAAUGCCAUUCGUAAAAGUACAGUUAAUAAACUUUAUUAAUUUGUGCUGUAUGCAAUAAUAAGGUUACAUUGCACGGCACUGAAAGGCUGCCCUCUAAAAGAUAGCACUUGAUCAACUGCACACAAUAAUCCUUUAGAACAACAGCGUAAUAGAGGAACGAAAUUCCAUCCGAAAUACAGAGAGAAUUUAGAAAAACCAAACGUUUGAGCUUGACUGGAAUUUGUCCCUAUGUAUUUCAAAGUUCACAAAUACAGUAGGUGAAGAUCAUUGACGUUGUCAGAGGAUUAUCACUAAGUUUCAACCAAAAGGCAACAAAUGCAAGCAAUGCAGAUACAGAAAGUAGUGCCUCCCAAAAUAAAGUAAGGCAAACGGCAUGAUUUAUUCCAACUCCCAUCCUUUUGACUAACCAUCAGGCUCAGAAAUUAAAUAUCUAAAGAUUAAAAGUAAUACAGCUUUAAGCAGUUGACCAAUAGGUUGCUACAUAAAAUGAUCCUCAUCACAUUUGAAGUGUCUCACAGUUCAAAAAUUUCACCUAUGCCCAUCCAUUUCCUAUCUCCCCAAAUAAUUCAAUAACUUAAUUACCCCACGGUUUAAUCUGGCCAAGGAGCCAAGGAAGACAUGUUUUUCUUUCAUUGUUACUCUACCCUGGGGAAAGGAAUACAAUAUAAACUACAUGGAAAACCUUCCUUUUUUGUGUGUAUGCCCACCACAAUGCUUUCACUACUAACUUUCUUGCUGACUGAAUACAAAAUGCUGCCGUUCAAUCAGAUGAGUCUCCAUGAAGUUAGAAUCAUUCAAGUGAAAUUCAUAAAAUAAAGAAGAUAAAUAGACUCCAGAAAUUUCAGUUCUUGAGAAGCUGAUUACACACAAAAGGGUGAUUAAAAGUGAAAGGUUAGUGGAAAAUCUUCUGGGCUCAUUUAAUAAGAGAAUGUGGAGUUCCAUGAGAGUCUUUUCUAAAGAAAGCACUAACAGCGUUAUAGAGCGACAAAACCUGAAAGGCUGCAUAAUGGACUUAAGUCUGCUUUGUGACUCAUGGGCAUACUUCAUCAGGAUGUACUUCCUCUUUUAGAGGGUCAUGUAGGUGAACAAGCUGACAAAGUUGACAGAGAGAGAAAUUCCACAUGUGUCACAGGGAUAACAUUUAUUUGAUCUCAAGUUCUACACACACAUAGAAAAUAAUUCUAAGUCAAACUUUAAUGAAUUCAGUCAUGUUGGUGGUGUUUUGCUCCUAGAAUGUCCCCCUUUUUUUUGCCUCUAGAAUAUAACUCAAGUUACUUUAAAUUGACACUAGGUAAAUUGUAUCGUUCCCAAAUCUUUUAUGAAAGGAUAAGCUAAAUGAAAUAACUUCUAAAGGCUGGUUAGAGAUUUCCUUUUCAAAGUAGCAAUAAUAACAGCAGCAAUAUUAGUACAAGAAUAAUGAAUAACUGAACACACACUAUGUGUCGGGCACUACGCUUAGAGUUUUACACGCAUUAACAAAUUAACAAAGCAAUCAAUACUUUUGAGAACUACUCCAGACUAGGCACUAUACAAAAUGUGUCACGCACACACACAAAAGAUAGAAGCAAUUUUAAUUACACAACAGACCUAGAACAUAUAAUGGAUAAGAGUAUCAUGGGAGAUUUUUGGUAAAAACUGAAUAGGUCCUUUCAUAUUUCUUUGUUUGAAUCUCUCCAAAUAUCCCUAAUGUCUGCUUUUCAAAAGGAAUAAAACUAUAAUAAUUUUGAAAAAAUUAUUCACAAAGAAAACUCCCACUCUUUUAUAUAAAGCCUUGAUUCUUAACUUCUUAAGACACACAAUACUCUCUACUAUUUCUGAAAAAUCAUUGACAAGUAGCCAUAAAAACUUAAAUAAUAACUGAAAACAGUCUUCACAGAUCAAUAGGCCAGGAAGAAUUCUUAGAAUAUGCAUUGGCCUCCACCCACAUUUUUCAAUGCCAUUUACUUUUAUCCAUCAAUACUUUCUUCUUUUAUUUUUCAUAUCCCUAGAUUAAGGAAUAUCUGCAUUUAUUUACAGAAAUAUCCUGAGACUGCUCCCACAAAUGCAUAUUUUUAUGAAGACCAAGAAAACAAGAAGAAAACAUGAGGGUCAUAGUAUCCUGGGGUCCUUUUUGUUUUCUUCUUUUUCUCAUUACGAUUACUUUAUUAGGCUUGCACCUAUUUCUAAUAGGUUGGAUCUUUCACUAGACCUGAAUUAUGAGACUCUUUAUUUAGGACUUGAACAUAAAUAUCAGUUGCUCAGUUGUUAUUUUCAUGGUCAUUUUAAGCUAUUUCAACCAUAAAUGCUUUAAUUGCAUGAAUAUCCUAAAGCUGUCUAAGUACAAAUAUACUCCCACCACAUUCCUCUAUGCUAACACAAUAUUGUAGUUGGAGUAAAGUUUCAUUAAAAUAUGUGAGGAAAAUUGGUACAUUAAUAAUAUUUAAAAAUUAAACAAUAUACAUGAUAGCCAUAGGACGUAAGAUGUAGUCAGCCCUUCAGAACUUCUGAUGCAUCAUUUUAAAACAUCAUUUAUCAUUUUGAUAAAGCUGAAGUCAAGUUUCUAAAAAUGCAACUUGUUAAAAGCAAGAAUAAAUGAAUGAGGGAUGAGUCAGCUCAUUUGAUGGAAAGGGUAAAAAGAAAAAUACUUCAAAAGCACACCACAUGACUUGGUAAAUAUUCAGUGUAUCAAAAUGUAAUUGCCAUCUGGCGUUGAUAGACUGGGCUAGAAUAUGUGUUAAAAGGAAAAAAAAGAAAGGAAGUAACUCAGCCAGGUUAACGUGCUCUUGUCUACAUUUCAUAAUUCAGGUAUUAAGUAGUUUAAUAAAUAUUCACUACAAAGGAAGAGCUGUAUUACAGUCAGACUUGGGCAGUAUUUAUUGGGGGUGGGUGGAGAGGAGUAAAAGAAGACAAGACUUGAUGACACCUGUAUAAGCUAAAGACAAAAAACUGUUUUAGCUGAAGCUGAAUUCUCAAUCAUAUGAUCAUACUGCCAGAACACCAGCUUCACAGUUAAACACAGGGAAGUGGUAAAAGCCUAUAUUUGUAAAGAAACUGAAAUCUCACUAUUGUCAGCUUUGAAUAUUCAAUUACUCUUUUCUUUGGCUAUGACUAUUUAAAAGUACAGAGUAAACCAGAAAAUAAACAAAAGUAUUACUUGGACAGCAGUAAGAAGGAAAAAUUAAAAAGCCUUGACAUUCUUUGAAGUUUUUAAACUAGAGUUUGCUAUUAACUUUACAAUAUGUAAUCAAACAAGAAGUAAAUGUGAAGGACUUUCUCCUUCUUGCUCAAGAAAUGAAGCACAUUUAGAAAACAUUAUCAUUUAUGAAAGAAAAAACUGAACAGAGCAGGGAAAACUUGCUCGAAGUAGCAAUGCCUGCCCAAGGCCAUAUCUGGGCUUUUUAUCAGGUACCUCUUUCCUUAACCUCGAACAUUCCCCGGGGUUCCAAAUCUUGACAAUGUAUGUUCCAUCACAUCUCUUAGAAUCAAGGCAAUAGGCAGAAAAGUUUUAACAAAGCUUUGAGGGUUAAUCAAGACAGGGUCUGGGGAAAUUGUUAGCAAAAUGGAUGAAACACUUCAGGCGAGAGUUGAUUCAGUUAAAGCACAGACUUUUUUUUAAAAAAAAAUUGAGGUAAAAUUUACAUAAAGCAAAAUUCAUGGAUUUUAAAGUGUAAAAUACAAAGAGUUUUGAUAAAUGUAUAUACCUGUGUAACCACCAUCCUGACUGAGAUAUAGAAAGUUCCUCAAUACCCUCUUCCAGUCAAUUCCCACCUCUCAUAAACAACCAAUAUUCUGAUUUUUAUCACCAUAGAUUAGUUUUGCCUUCAUACAAAUGGAAUCAUGUAGUCUUUUGGGUCCUGGUUUCUUUUGCACAACAUGUUCCUGAAAUUCAUCCACAUUCUUGCCUCUAUUAUAGUCCACUUUGUUUUGUUUGCUUAUGAGCAUUCUAUUCUAUGAAUAUACCACAUUUUGCAUAUCCAUUUGCUAUAUUUGGGUGUUUCCAUUUUUAGGCAAUUAUGAAUAAAGAUAUUGGAAACAGUUCUUAUACAAGUCUUUUUGAGGGCACAGUUUUCAUUUCUUUUUGGUAAAUACCCAGGAAUGCAAUUACCAAAUCAUAGGGUAGGCAUACGUUUAACUGUUAAGAAUGCGAAGUAUUCCACAUCCUUGCCAACACUUGAAUGUGUCAGUCUUUUUUAUUUUAGUCAUUCUAGUAAGCAGGAACUAUGAUCUCGCUCUGGUUUUAAUUUGAAUUUCCCUGAUGACUAAUGAUGCUGAGUAACUUUUUCUGAGCUUAUUGGUUGCUCUUAGACCUUCCAUUCUGAAGUGCCUAUCCAAGUCAUUUGCCCUUUUAAAAUUUUGUUUAUUUGUUAUUGAUUUUUAGGCAUUCCUUACAUAGUCUGGAUAUGUGGAUAUAUGUAUUGCAAAUAUUUUCACCCAGUCUGUUGCUUGCCUUUUUGUUUUCUUAAUAUUGUAUUUUGAUAAUGAGAAGUUUUUAAUUCAGAUGAGGUCUGACAUCAUUUUUUUCUUUUAGGUCUAGGGAUUUCUGUAUCCUCUAAACAGUCUUUGCCUACUCCAAAGUUAAGAGAUUUUUUUCCCCUAUGUGUCAUUAUGGAUGCAUUACCAUCUUAGUUCUUUGCAGGUGUUUAAUACAUAUAAAAUUAAUUUUCAUGUGUAGUGUGAGAUAGAGGCCAAAGUUUAACAUUUUUCCAUAUGUUUAUCUAGUUUUUCAAGCACUGUUUGUGGCAAAUGUUUUUCUUCUCCCAGUUAACCUACAUUGUCACCUUUGUUGAUAUCAAUUGACCAUUUGUUUGGAGUUGAUUUCUGGACUCUCUCUCUGUUCUGUUACAAUGACAAAUGUGUGGGGUUUUUUUGGUUGGGGUGGUAUAAUCUGUCUUUGUUACUAUAUAUUUAUAGACAGUUUUGAAAUUAGAUAGUGUGAGUGCUCCAACUUUGUUCUUAUUUUCUAGGUUAUUUGCAAUUCCAUAUGAAUUUUAAAGUCAACUUGACAACUUCUCUAAAGGUUAGAAAAAAAUGUGGAGGUCUUUGCUCAGAUUGCAUUGACUCUAGAGAUCAAUUUGAAAAGAAAUGAAACUUUAACAACAUUGAGUGUUAAUUCAUGAGCAAUGUAUAUUUCUCUAAGGCCUUUUAGUUUUGAAUGUAGAGGCCUCAUAUUCCUUUAUUGAGCUUAUUUCUAAGUAUUUUGUAUUUUUAUGCUAUUGCAAAUUGACUUUAAAAUUUCAUAUUCAAAAUUAUUUGCCACUACCACACAAAAAUAUAAUCAAUUUUUGUAUAUCGAUCCUGUGACCUUCCCACAUCCACUUAUUAGCUCCAGUAGUUGCUUUGUAUAGUCCAUAAGAUUUUCUAUUGUGAAUAAUCAAGGAAUAAGUGUAUAAAAACAGUUUCACUUCCUUUCCUAUCUAUAUACCUUUAAUUUAUUUUUUCUUGCUUUAUUACUCUGGCUAGAAUUUUUAGUACAAUAUUGAACAGAGAUAGUAAGAGAUAUCCUUGCCUUUUACUAGAUCUUAGGUGGAAAGUUAUCAUUCAGUCUUUUAUCAUUAAGUAUGAUAUGAACUGUAGGUUUUCACAGAAGCCCUUCAUCAGAUUGAGGAAGUUCCUGUCUCUUCAAGUUUUCUGAGUGUUUAUUAUAAAUGCCUGUUAAAUUAUUUCAAAUGCUUUUCCUGCAUCUAUUGAGAAGAUCCUAUUUUUCUCCUUCAUUCUGGUGAAUUUACAUUGAUUUAUUUUCAAAUGUUAAACUAAACUUGCAUUGCUGAGAUAAACUCCACAUGGUCAUGAGGUAUUACCUAUCUUACAUAUUGCUGGACUUUAUUUGCUAUUAUUUUUCAAAGAUUAUUGUGUCUAGACUCACGAGGGAUACUAGCCUGUAAUUUUUUUUAUAUCUUUUUCAGUUUUUGCUAAGAAGAUUAUGCUGGGCUCAUAAAACAAGCCAGGAAGUGUUUUUCCUUCUAUAUUUUCUGAAAGUUUGUGUAGGAUUAAUAUUAUUUCCUCUUUAAAUGUUUAAUAGAAUUCUCCAGGGAAACUAUCUGGGCCUGAGCUUGUCUUUUUAGGAAUGUUUUUGGUAACAAAUUCAAUUUCUUUAAUAAACAUAGGGUUAUACAGAUUUUCUAUGUUUCCUGUGUCAGUUUUGGCCACGUUUUUAAGGAAUUUAUUUCAUCAAAGUUGUUGAUAUUAUUCACAUGAAGUUUUCAUAAUAUUCCCUUGUUAUCCUUUCAAUAUCUGUAUGAUAUGUAAUGAUAUCCCCUCUUUAGUUACUGAUUUAGGCCAUUUGUAUCUUUUCUUGAUUGUUCUUACUAGAGGCUUGCCAAUUUUAUUUAUCUUUUCAAAGAAUCAAGUUUUGCUUUUGUAAAUCUUUAUUGUUUGUUUUCCAUUUUGGAUGAUUGUCUUGUUAUUUAUUUCUCUCCUUCUACUACUUUAUGGUUUCAUAUGACCAUAUUUUUCUACAUUAUUAAAGCGGAAAACUAUGCCACUGAUUUUAAAUCUUUCUUAUUUCUUCUGAUUUAGGAAUGAAAGCUCUAAAUUUCUGCUAAUCCCUUCUUUACGUAAAUUUCAACAAUUUACCUAAAUUUCAAAAUAUUACAUUUUCAGUAUACUUUGAUUUAAGAUAUUUUGUAAUUUCCCUCAUAACUUUAUCUUUUCAACUAUGGGGUAUUUAGAAGUUUAUUGUUCAAUUUCCAAGUGGUCUUAUAUAUAUAUAUAUAUAUAUAUACACAAUUUCUAAUUUAAUAGCAUUAUGAUCAGAAAACAUAUUAUGUAGUAUCUCAAUCUUUUGAAAAUGUUUGAAACUCAUUUGAUGGCCCAGAUUGUGGUCUACUUUGACAAAACUUCUACGUGCAGUUGUAUACAGUGCAUAUUUUUCAGGUAUGGCUAGUCUUCUAUAAAUGUCAAAUAGCUCAAGGUACCUGAUAGCAUUUUUAAUAUCUGGUAUAUCCUUACUGAUUUUCUGUCUACUUAUUCUAUCAAGUACUGGGAGAAGGGUAUUAAACUCUCCCGUUGUUAUUAUGGAUUUCUCUAUUCCUCUCUUUUUCUGUCAGUUUCUGUGUAUAUGUUUAUUACAUACAUCUUCAUGAUAAAAUGACAAAUAUCAUUAUAAAAUAUCCCUCCAUCUCUAAUAGUAGCCCUUUUCUUAAAGUCUACUCUAAUAGUAACAUAGCUAAUCCAGCUUUCUUAUGCUUAACUGUUUGUAUUGUAUAAAUCUCCCCAUCCUUUUACUCUCAAGAUAUGGAUAUCUUCAUACUUAAAGUGCAUUCCUUGUAGACAAUACAGAGUCAAAUCUUACUUUUUUUAUCCAAUCUGAUAGUCUCUGCCUUUUAAUAAUAGAGAUUAGACCAUUUACAUUAAAUGGAAUUAUUGCUACAGUUGAGUUUAGAUUUACCUUCUCAUUAUUGGCUUUCUAUUUUUUUCCUUUUUUUGUGUCUCUGCUUUCCUUUAUUUUUCUAAUGGGUUAAAUUGGUAUUUUAUUUUCUAUUCUAACCCCCCUAUUGGCUUUUUAGCUGUACUUUCUUGUAAUAGUUUUUAGCAGCUGUUCUGGGGAUCACUAUAUGCCUCUUUAUCACUGUUUACUUAGAGUUAAUAUUGUACCACUUCACCUAAAUUUAUGAGUCUUACAAGAGUAUAAUUCUAUUUACCAGCACUCUGUCUUUUGCAAUUUUUUUAAUACAUUUUAAGUCCAUAAAUAAUAUAGACCCAUGACAAAAUGUUAUAAUUUAUGCAUUAAACAGUCAGCUUUUUAAAAAAAGUUAACAGAAGAUAUUUCUUUACAUGUACUUAGAUAUUUACAAUUUGUGAUUUUCAUUCUUUUUUAAACCCAGUUUCCAUCUGAUCUCAUUUCCCUUCAACCUGAAGAACCUCCUUUCACAUUUCUUGUAAGAGUUCUGCUGACAACAAAUUUUGUUUAUAUGAAAAUUCUUUAUUUUUUCAUUAUUGGAAGAUUUCUUUGCUGUAUAUAAUUCUGGCUUAGCAGUUUUUAAUCACUUAAAAAAUGGCACUCCAUUGUUUCUAGCCUCCAUCAUUUACAGUGAGGUACUUAUUUGAUCCUCUUUGGCAAUCUAUUCUCCCACAUCCCUAUGGCUGCUUUCAAGAGUUUUCUUUUUAUCUCUGGCAUAUGGAAGUUUGACAACAACGUCUACAUGGGAUUUUCCUUCUAUAAUUUUGCUUUUUCACCAAAUUUUGGUCAUUUUUAGCUAUCAUUCUUUCAAAUAUCACUUUUGUCCCAUUCUCUCUUCUGCAUCUCCAAUCUGCUGUUAAGCUUCUCUGAUGAAUUAUUUUUAUUUUGGAUAUUUUAUUUUAACCCUUUAGUGCUUUUUAAUAACUCCAUUUGUUUUCUUCUGAGAAAAGAAUAUUAGACUGUCUUAUAUCAUUCUACAGAUCACUGACACUGAAUAUUUUUUCAGUCCUUUUUCUCUCUGUUCUUUAUACUAGUAAUGUCUAUUGAUCUAUAUUUAAGUUUACUGACCCUUUCUUAUGCCAUCUUCAAUCUGCUGUUAAGCCUCUCCAAUUAUUUUUUUGUUUCUUUGUUUCAGAUAUUGUCCCUUAAGUUUUUGGUUCUUUUGAUAAUUUCCAUUUCUCUUCUUAUUUCCUCAUUUGUUCCCUCAUUAUGAUCACAUUUUCUUUCAAGUCCUUGUCUGCUAAUUUAAACAUCUGGAUCAUCUAGGAAUUUGUUUCUAUUGACUGCUCUGUUUUUUUUUUUUAAGUUAGAGAUCACAUUUUCCUGUUUCCAUGUCCAGUCAUUAUUUAACUGUAUUUGGACCUUGUGUAUGAUAUGUUGUAGAGAUUCUGGGUUCUGUUAUCUUUUUCUAAGGAAUGGAUUUUUGUUCUAGCAUGCAAUUAAAUUACUGGUUGACCACUUUGACAUUGUGGUAGCUUAGUUUUAUGCUUUGUUAGGGCCUUUUAAUGAUGCAGUUUUGUCCCUUUUUCCUGAGUUAUUAUUAUUAUUAUUUUUUAGGAAGAUUAGCCCUGAGCUAAAAUCUGCCACCAAUCUUCCUCUUUUUGCUGAGGAAGACUGGCCCUGAGCUAACAUCCAUGCCCAUCUUACUCUAUGUUAUAUGUGGGAUGCCUGCCACAGCAUGGCUUGAUAAGCAGCGCAUAGGUCCGUGUCUGGGAUCCAAAUCAGCAAAGUCCUGGAACAUGUGAACUUAAUCACUAUGCCACCAGGUUGGCCCCUUGAAUUAAUUUCUUGGCCUUAGCUCAUCAUCUAUAUUGCUAAGGUGUGGCCUUACUGGGUUUUAAGUAAAGCUUUAGAUGUUUACCCAACCCUGCUAACCUAGUAAAACUCAAAUUUCUAAUUUUGUCUCCCCUUCACCAGACAUAUUUACUCAGCUCUUUUAGCCUUCUAGUUGUUCCCUUCCUCCAAGUCCUUAUAGACGUCCUUCCACAAGCACAGUUACCAAGUCAGCCAAGACAUUAGGAGAGUUUAUAUGCAGAUUUAUGGGUGCCCUCCCUCCGUGGCUCCAUCCUUUCCAAGAUUUCCUCCCUCAAUUUCAGGUAUUCUGCCAAUGCCAAACUCCAUCCUCUGACACUUCAAACCAGUAAGAUUAUGGCUUGCUGAUUGAAUUCUAACUGACUCACACCACACAGACUGGGGAGUUUCUUGAGGGGAAAAGCUGUAAGAAAUGUGGAUUCACCCAGUACAGUUCAUUCCUGAUUCUGUCUGUUUUUGGUCACUUUUUCAAUGCUUUCAAAUAAUUGUUUAUGUUUUUAACUGUAGUUUAGUUGUUUUUAAAAAAAUCAUAACCAGAGUUUAAAAUGGUUAUCUAUGGAAAUGUUUGUCCUGGGAUAGUACAAGUUACUGCUCCAUUACCAAAAUCAGAACUAUCAAAGGUACAGUUUUAUAGUAAAUAGUAUUAGAAAUUGAUUUGGAAAAUUGAAUUAUAAUCAAAGUAUCAAUAGGCUUUCUCCUCCUAAUAAACUGCUUGUUCCUUGUGAGAAAAGACUUUUAUUCGUGUCAUUUUUUUUUAAUCGUUCACAGUGAAAAUGGUAGUAUUCCACUUACUAAAUAUGGCCAAUGAAUAUUUGUAUAAUAAAAUUCAAAACAAUAAUCUAUAUGAGUGAGAUUAAAUAGAGUUACAAAUAAAGAAAACCACCUUAAGGAACGUGCUUGAGAGAUUAGUGGUAUGAGAUAUUUCUGGUUAUGACAGAGAUUCUGAACAUGUGGUACAGUUGUGCAGGGAAAAUGGGUAACUCCAUCCUCAUCAUUUUUAAAGACUUAUUCUAAUACAGACAUUUGCUAAGUAUUUUAGAUGGAUGAACUUAUAUAGUAGCUCAGGUAGUCAGACUCCAGAGUCAAAUUCCAACCAUUCCCUCUUAUUGCCUCCUGAGAACUGAGAUCAAACUCAUUCAGUCAUCACGUGUUCUAACAAUAUACAUCUCCUAUUAAUAUUCUUCCCAUUUUCUACGUUAGCAACUUGCUUCCUCUGUCAUGUAAACUUGCUCUCCAUCCUUCCUGUAAAAUUCUUGCUCAUUUCCUGGAGCAGCGGUAAAAUGGAGACCUCAGAUUGAAGCAGUAAAUAGUCAAGAAAUACCUCUGAAAUCAAUGAAACUGAAACAGUCUGCCCAUUUCUGUCCUUUAAAAAUCAGUUUCAAAUCCGUCCCUUCCAGAGAGCCUCCAGUAUUUAACCUGGAACCACCAAUCACUCCUCUGACAAAUCUGACCUUGGCGAAUUGAUACAAUAGACUAAUUAUUAAUUAUUUACUUUUAUGUCUCAACAACAUUCUAGGUGCUUGUGGAAAACAAAUGAAGAACAAGACAAGGUCUUUAGCUAGAAGCUCAUUACACUUUGGUUGGGGAGAUUCUUACCCAUCACAGUCCCCUAAAGUAUACUCUUCAUCCAGUUUAUCACAACAGUCUCUACGUAUGCAUAUAUUCCAAUGUGCUAUUUUGCUUUUCUCUCUUCUUUGUAAUGAUUUCACGCAGGCUGUUCAUUUCAAGAACCUGACUGACUUCCUGUUGGUACCAUCACUUUAACCCUGAGGACUGAGGGCCAAGUGGAGCCCUAUGGUUCCUAUCAGGUCCCCCUGGUACAACUCAGUCCUUGCUGCCUCAUCCAACCUUCCUCUCUCAGUUUGUAAUCAGCUUAACUUUUAAAGUCUUUAUACACAUUAGGUAAUAUUUGUCCUCUGUACUCCCAGGGGACUGUGGUCACUGCCCAGCUAGGAAGCCCUACCCUUCAUUAUUCAGCAACAGCUUGAAGAGUAUUCUAAUUCUGACCUUCCGCCCUCUGACUGGACCAGCUGCAUCAAAGGCUGUGUUCCCUUGUUUGUUUGUUUUUUUCCUGAAGCAGAAUCACCAUUUCAAACUAAGUCAUCUAUUAGAAAAGAAAGGACUCUGGGUCCAAAUUUUCAAACAUAUCUCUUCUGUGAACCAUAGCAAAUCUAAACUGGAUUAUACCUUAUGUUAGAGUCAGGACUCACGUGGUCCCUUUUUCUCUGCCCCUCUGGAUCCCCGCAUGCUGUUCAGGGGAAGUUGCUGGCUUUUGAACCUGACAGUUUGAAAAUGAAGGCAUUUUUCUUUUAGGGAGAAUAGUCCUUCAGUGAUUCAAACAACGAGGCUUGUGAUCAAAAUAAUUCAUAAAGGAAAAGAUUUAUGAAGUGACUUCACUAGCACACAAUGCAUUUUUUAAACUUUGUUUUUUAAAUAAAUCUGUCAGUACACAAGCCAAGACAACACAUCUGAAUGCAAUAUCAGUGGACACACCCUGAAUCGCUUCUCCUGUGCUUGUCCAAGACUGUGGCAGAAACGGAAAGUGCUCCUUUUUGUCUCUUCUUUUUAUUUAAUAUUAGUUUUUUUAAAAAAAUUAAAAACACUAGUUCUAGGAAAAGACUUUUAAAAAAUGUGCAUACUGCCAUUUCCUACAUAAAACACGCCUUUAAAAAAUGCAUUGUCCAUCUACCACUUGUGCUUGUUUAAGAAAAUAAAAAAUAAAUAAAGAAGUCCAACUUAUAAUGAAUCCCUCUGGCAUCAGGAAGCCUGUCCUAACCUUCGUUUAUCAGGUUUGAGUGAUAGUUCUGCUCAACGAGUAUUGACAGGACCGUCCUGUUCUCAGGCUUUCGUUUCUCUCAGUUGGAGAAGGAUACAGUGCAUUUUCACAUUCUCAAAGUCUGCAGUUGUUUUUAUAUAAGAAGCAAUUUGCUUGGGUCACGUCAGGUCGAAUGGGAUGCCUGCCCAGCUCUUGGUUUUAAAGGAAAAACAUACAGAAAGACACAAAAACACAGCAGUUUCCUUCAUUAAAUUCCACUCUACCUGCCAUGGGCUUCUAGCCACAAUGGAAUUUCCCACCCUGGCCUAGCCUAGCCUAACUUUUAUUUUUAGGGAUUUUUUUUUCCCUUAAAUCUUAUGAGCUUUCUUUCAAGUGAACUUUGAGGUAAGGAUUAUUAAAUAAUAGAGCAAUUGCCUGGUUUAAAACAAAUCGGACAUGAGAAACAAAUGCCUGGUGA
rnacentral:lncRNA from 1 species